UACCUCCUCUCUCUCUCUCUCUCUCUCUCUCUCUCUCUCUCUCUCUCUCUCUCUCUCUUUCUCUCUCUCUCUCUCUCACACACAUUUAAAACCCAUCAGCCAGCCAUGGCUUCCCACUUUUCUCUCUCCGCUGUUUCUCUCAUCACCCUCCUCUUCCUUGCCGGACACCGCCUCAUCCAUCACCAUCAGCGUCACCUAUUCCGCCUCCACAGUCUCCACCUGCCCCACGCCUCUGCUACCGGAGCGCGUGGCCUCGACCAUCACUUCUCUCAGCCUCGCCGCCCUCCGCCUUGACGUCUCUGACCCCAACCUCAUCUGCGCCUUCCUCUACUCUAACACCACCCUCCUCCUCACCAUCCCCAACGCGCUGGUGUCCCACCUCUGGCCGCCAACCGCACCAACGCCCUCUAGUGGCUCACCGUUCAACACUUCCAAUUCCCAAAUCUGAAAAUUUUAGGGAUUGAAACCCCCAAUUCCCAAAUCUGUUUCCAAUCAAACAAAUGGCUUCAAUUUCAUAUAGAGGAAGGGGAGGCGAGCGAGAAGAGGUUGUUGGCUGGGGAUUCGAAGUGGUUGAGAUUUCAAGUCUAGCACGGGUUUGAAGCGAAAAACGGAAAGACUUCAUGGAUGGUGUUGUUUAGGGUUUGGUUGGUGGCGAAGGGAGAAGAUUGUUGUGAGGGUUUGAGUUUUGGGCUUCGGGAGAGAGAUGCGAGGUAGGUGGGUUUGAGUUUUUAGCGUCGGGAGAGAGAUGUCGAGGAGCUGCGGGGUGAGCUACUGGUGGUGUGGUUGGUUGCUGGUGGUUUGGUUGCGGUGUGUUUGAUUACGGUGUUGAUGUGGUUGGUUGCUGGUGGUGUGGUUGGUUGGUUGCUGGUAUUGUUGUUGCGGUGUUGUUGAAGGUCCAACUGGUGGUGUGGUUGGUUGGUUGGUUGCUGGUAUUGUUGUUGCGGUGUUGUUGAAGGUCCAACUGGUGAUGUGGUGGCGUUGUGGUUGCGGAGGAGGUGGAGGAGGAGACAGAAGAGAUUGAAGAGAUUAAGGAGGGAGGGAGGGAGGGUGUUAAAUGGAAUUUCCAGUUGAAAAAUAUGUCCAGUCAGUAACUUAACCACUGAUUUGGACGACCACUUAACGGAUGGACCUAAUUGUGUGACAUUGGAUAGUUAAUGGAGUAAUCGAUUGAAAUUGAAAGUUAAUGGAGUAAACUGUCAAGCGCAUAAAAGUUAAUGGAGUGACCAGUAAUUAAUUCAUAAGAAAAACAUAAAUAGAGCAAACCCAAAGACAACUCCCACAAAGUGAGCCCAACCCCAUCUCUUACCCAUAUUGAGCCUACUAGCAGCUUUCAAGCCCAAAGACCCACACCAACAUAUCACCAUCCCUUCUGACCCCAAAGGAAAAACUGUGACACCCCAGCCACCAACGCCGCCUUCCCGCGGCCGUUGAGCAACCACAACGCCGCAAUUACAAUUCUGAUAAUGAUCGCCUAAAGCAACCCAACACCUGUGAAAACAAAGAACCCCUGCAAUUGGAUCUGGAAGCAUCGACCCCACAAGCCAUUGAAAAAGCCAGCAUUGAUUUGCACCAUCCGGCCAAUCGGAUUUUCCGGCCAACACAACAAACACCUCGUUGACCCAACAAAAGCUAGAUCCUCUGUCGAUCCCAGCUCGCUUCCACGACUGAAGAAAUAUCUAAACACAAAGAUUGCGGAAGCUUUUCUUCUAUAUUUCUUGAUAAAACUUUACGAGGUUUAAUAACAAGUAUAUAUAGAUACAAUGAGAAUCGUAUAAGGAAAGCUAAAGCAAACUCAACCACAGCCACAACUGUGGCACCGAAACCGAGGUCACCAACUUGGUCUCUAAUUUGUAGCAACAGAGAGACAAGCUACAACAGCCAACUUGUUGUUUUAGAAAAAGGGGACCAGGGAGACCACCAGUACUUGGUAGCACACCAGCAGUACAUGAUAGCACAGCUGUAGCUUCUAAAGUCAAUUUGAACUAGAUUAGUUCAAUUAGAACUUAUCUCUAACUCUCAAUACUCCCCCUCAAGCUGGAUCAAGAGGAUUCAUUGAGCCAAGCUUGCCCAAAAUACGAUGAAAAUGGAAUGUUGAAAGAGACUUGGUGAAGAUAUCAGCGAGCUGAUCAUAGCUGCGAGUGUAAUGAGUGACAAUGAGCUUGGACUGAACUUGAGCUCGAAUAUAGUGACAAUCAAUUUCGAUGUGCUUGGUCCUUUCAUGAAAAACAGGAUUGGAAGCAAUGUGCAUGGCAGCUUGAUUAUCACAAUAGAGAGAUUGGUUGACUACAAGGGGAUCCCAAAUCAGAGAGCAAACCCUUCAGCCAAAUAAGCUCACAAGCAGUAGCAGGCAUUGCCCUAUAUUUAGUUUCUGCGCUAGAACGAGCCACAACCGUUUGCUUCUUACUCUUCCAUGUAACUACAUUUCCCCCAACAAAGGUGCAAAAACCAGUAGUGGACUUUCGAUCAAGUGAGUUACCAGCCCAAUUCGCAUCAGUAUACCCCAUGAUGUUAGCAUUGCCAUUGUUUUUCAACAAAAUUUCUCUACCAGCAGAGCCUUUAAGAUAGCGAAGAAUCCUCUUAACAAUGUGAAGAUGAGCUUGAGUAGGAGCUUGCAUAAAUUGACUAACAAUACUCACAGGAUAGGUAAUGUCUGGACGAGUGAUUGUAAGGUAGAAUAUUAACUUACCAACCAGCCUUUGAUAAGAUGUCACAUCAGAGAGAAAAGCACUUGAAGUUUCAAACUGAAGCUUGCUAUCCAAAGGAGUGCUAGCUGGUUUGCUAUCCCAAAACUCUGACUCUUUCAACAGAUCAAGAACAUACUUUCUUUGAUUUAGAAACAACUCUUUGUGAGAAGUAGCCAUUUCUAUGCCAAGGAAGUACUUAAGAUGCCCCAAAUCCUUCACUACCAGGACAAGCACUUUAGCCGACGAAAAUUUUUCGUCGGCCUGUCAGCUUAAUUCGUCGGCUAAGAUCUUAGCCGACGACCUUUCGUCGGCUAAGAUUUCGUCGGGAAAAGCUCGUCUGUGGUGACUUUAGCCGACGACACACGUAUAAGUCGUCGGCUAUAGUCCAGACUUUAGCCGACGACAUAAUUUCGUCGGCUAUAGUCCAGACUUNNNNNNNNNNNNNNNNNNNNNNNNNNNNNNNNNNNNNNNNNNNNNNNNNNNNNNNNNNNNNNNNNNNNNNNNNNNNNNNNNNNNNNNNNNNNNNNNNNNNAUCCAUGCUUGCAUUGCUCGUUUCGAAUGGAUCCGGAUUCUUUGUUUGGAUUUAUGUUGUUUGAAUUUGCUUGGAUAUCUUGCAACUAUUAGAUAGAGUAAGGAUGACAUGACGGUUUUAGAUUGUACUUAUUCUAAUGGUUAGAAGUCAUCUAAGCAAAUCCAAACAACAAAAAUUUAAUGGGGUGUAUUGUACUUGGACUUUUAUUUACUUUUUUUAAGUGAUGGAUUUAGAAAGAGUUCAUGGAUUAGAUUAUACUUAAUCUAAUGGUUAGAAGUUAUCUAAGCAAAUUCAAGCAACAUAAAUAUAAAGGAGAUGUAUUGUACUUAGACUUUUAUUAACUUUUUUUAAUUGAUGGAUUUAGAAAGAGUUCAUGGAUUUGAAUCAUUUGAUUGAUUUCUACAGACUCUUUGAUAGAUUUGUAAAAUUUUCAAAAACUUUUAUGAACUCUCCAUAUUAGAUUCAUAUAAACUUUUUAUGAUUUAUAUAAACUUGUUCUUGGAAUUUUGUGGAUUUUAGCAACUUCUGAUGCUAAAUAACUUAUAGCAUAUAUGCAGAUGACCCUCACCAAAUAUAAUAUAAAGGGUGCUGUUAAAUGUACCCAGCAAACUUCUAUGUAGACUCAACAAAACAAUUUUAUAAACAAAGAUAAUUUUAUCCUCGUGUAAAAUGACAUUAACAGUCAUGAUAAUUAAAACAAUAACAAAACAAACCAUGACACUCUUGAACCCAACAUUUUCUAAUGUAUCCAGCAGUAAAACUUGAAAACGUUGUUGAUCCGAGCAAACCUUUAACCAGAACCCAUAAUCAAAAUUAAGUAUACACACAAUGUGUGUUUAUAUAUAACACAUCAUCAAUUAUGUUGCUAUCUAAAUUCCCAGUUCUCUGCCUUUCGGGUUUUUUGUUUUUUUUCCAGAACAUCUAGUUUGAGCUCUGGACUUGGUAACAGCUUCUUCAACUCGUUUUUUGAAAGACCAAGUUCAGUACACUUGAGCAGUCCCUCACGCGCCUUCAUCUUGAGAAAGUUCAUAUAUACAAGGAAUUCGACUCAGCGAGCUUUGGGUUUUAUCAGAUGUGGGUUUAAUUGUUAAUCAUCUUACGAGAUCAAUUCCAAUUGUAAUACAUACCUAAGUACUCUUAACCAUACCUAAUUACCUAUGAUACUGAUCACAGUCCGAGCAACAUCUGCAAAAACUUCGAUGUUGUGAUGACGGACCACUAAAGAAGAAGACAAAUUAAGAUGGAAGAAGGAGCAACAGAUGGAGACAAGGCUGAAGAAAAAUGCACGAGGGAAACAAGAGACAGGUUUGGUUGGGUGUUAAAAGAGAAAAAGGAAGGAAAUCGAUUAGUUUUGCUGGGUUUAACUUUUAACAAAGGGAGGGCAUUUUUGGAAAGUCGCUAGGUGCACUUAGAGAUUUUAUUUUGUUGGCUGUAAAUAGCUUGCAGGGUUUACUUAGAAAUUUGCUAGUUACAUCUAGCAUCACCCUAUGAUAAACCCACAACAUUGCACGCAGUUUAUCAUUAUGAGUUGAUAAAGAUUCAAAACUAAAAUCAUAAACAAAUGCGAAAAGUAAACAAGACAUCAACUAAAGUUCCACCUGAACUGCACAAAUUCAUUCAUAAUGCUAUAGUUUGUAGUGUUUUCAAUGUGGAACAUACAUGUGCAGCACAUAAAAUGACUUAUUGUGAGGCUUUCAGAAUGCUGAGCACACUGCAAAGAAACACAAAGGAAAAGGGGACAUUGUGCAAAAACCAAAGUUUUCAUAUGAAUAGAAGUCGGAAAAAUAAUUACAUUGAGAGUAGCCAAUCUGCAUUACAAUUGACAAAAAGAUUCAGAAUAUUUUGAAUGCCCAGAAAAUGAUUAACAAAUAGUAAAGGAGAAUGUAUGUGCAUAAAAACGCAAUUGGUGAAACUUUACAUAACAACACACAGUGAAGGAGCCUAAAGCAAGUGAGAGGCUCCAAUUUUUGUAUACAAGACAACCCACUUCUAACUUGGGGAAUGGAUGAUAUACACAUAUAACUAUGUCAGAAGGACUAAACCAACUUGUCCAGAGACUAAACAAUCUCCCCAUGCUUGAAUGCACUGCUGGUAUAAUCCACAAGUAGAAUGAUGUAGGACGGAUGGCCGAAGAAAUCGAGGAACAAAUUGAUCGUUGCAGGUCCAAACCCGGUUUGCUGCAGAUUUGGCGUUCGGUGUCCGAAUGACUAUUAAUAUACCUUUCUGGAAGCGGAACGGCCGAACGAACAAGACACGUGGCUUUGCCACGACAUAUGGGCUUUUUCGGCCAUCCGAGUUUGUUUCGGACCUCAAAUCAGCGUUUUAUUAGUUUUUAGGAUUUUAUGUUUCCUAGUUCUUUUCGGAUUGUGUUUUGAUUCAAUCCUUGGGCUUUUAGGUUUGGUUGUUAGUCGCCCUAGGGUUUUGUUUUCCAUAUAUAAGCACCUUUUUGGGUAGCUGAGAGGCAGUUUAUCAAUUAUAAUUCAGAAUUUAAGAGUUUUACUCUUAGUCCUUGGCGCGCUCCAGGUUUUGGUCCUAUAGAGUUUUUCGCUUGAAGACUCUCCACAUAUUAGGGUUUAACGCUGGUUAGCCCCCAUACUCCUGCUGCGUCAUAGAAUCAUACCAUUUAGAACUCCCUUGUAGAAGCUAUCAACCUGUAAACCAAUAAGACCUACAUCUGUCACUAUACUCUCGUUGAAGUCACUGCAUUUCAACCACUUCCCAGGCUUACAAGCCUCACUGCAUUCAAUCGCUCUUGACUUCAACUACGGGCUGCUGCAAGCAUGAAAAAGAUGCAUCGAUUAAUGAAUCAGUUCCAAGAGAUUCCCGAGCUUCACAACCAAGGCUAAUCAAGUUGGACUCAUCCUCAAAGAGGUCUAAUUUCUCAAAGUCGAUGAGUUUCAUAAAAUCCAAUAGUCAUCACUCAUCCAUAGAGCUAGUAUGACUACCAUCAUGCCAAUUCUUUUCCCAAUGGGAUUUAUCAAGCAAAACAGGCCUGCACACAGCCAAUGGGAUUUGACUCCUAUGCAAUGACAAUUCUUUCGCUCAUACAUGAUCAGACUGGCAUAGUAACAAUUUUUCAGCAGAAAACAUAGUAUUAAUUAUACAUGUAUAUAGAUUAUGAAUAGAUAUAUAGAAUCAUUGAUCAAAUUGUAACCGGAAAGAAAGUCCUAACAAAUAGGUUCAAGCACAAAAGAAACGAUGCGAUUAUUUUUGGGGUGUAUUGUUCACAAUCACUUCUAGUAACAAAGUAACAACAAUCAUUUGCAGGCUUCUAGGGCUUGAUAGCAUAAUUUCAAACUCUUUCUGAAAUCGCCUUUUAGGGUUUAUGGUAGGGUUCAUAGUUGAACAGAAUAUGAAUAUAUACGAUACCAAUAAGUUCAAGAACAAACAUGUAAUAGGAAUCAUCACAAUAUCAUGAUGCAAAUCGAAUAAUUUCAAGAACAAAAGAGGAAAAACCCUAACGUCGAGGUUUUCGAUCACGUACCUACGUCGAGCUGUGCUUCGCAAAAAGAAUUCUGUAGAAAUCUUUGGCGUGGAGGUUGGAUUUCUUUGGAGCCUUUCUAUUUAUACUGAAGGCUCUAUAAUCCACAAGAAUCAAAUUCCAUACAAUUCAUAGAUUUUUUAAAUACCCUUGCACUUGUAUGGACUUAUGAAAAGUUUUCAUUGAAUACCUUGAGAUUUUUGUGGACUAGAAAUCUUAACUUUAAAAUCCAGAUUGAAUACCCCAAUUUUUCUAAAAACUCUUUAAAAGUUAUAAUAAAUCAUAAAUAAAUACCCACAAACUUUCAAAGUCUAUAAAAAUCUUCAAAACACCUUAGAAAUCAAAAUACAAUACACCCCCCUAAAUAAAGAAACCAAAUUCAUUUCAGAUAACAGAUUGAUGAACAAGCUACAUAAGACGGUAUGUAGGCUUGGCAAGCAAGUGUUUGGCCUUUGACAAUGACAAACCAAACUUCUCUGUCAUGUUCAAGUCUUGAGGUAGCAUGCCAUUUGGGAGCUCCCAGUUAAAGCAGUGCACCAGCUGUGCCAGUACUAGCCUUACUGUGGUUAGCCCUAAUUGCAUACCCGGACACCCUCUUCGGCCAGUCCCAAAUGGGAUGAGCUGAUAGUCAUGUCCCCGGAGGUCUAUGUUGCUGUUUGUAAACCUUUCCGGAUAGAAUUCCUCAACAUUUUCCGACCAAACAUUGGGAUCCCUUGCAAUGCUCCAGAAAUUCACUAUGAGUCGUGAUUUCUUCGGUAUGUCGUAUCCAUCGAUUGUAAUGUCCUUGAUGGAUUCAUGUGGGACGAGCAAGGGUGCAACUGGGUGUAGUCUGAAGCUCUCCUUGACCACCAGAUUCAAGUAAUCCAGUUUUGGCAAAUCAGACUCUUCUACCAUUCGGUCCAUACCAACCACAGUUUGGAGCUCUUCUUGGAGUUGCUUCAUGAUCCUUGGAUGCCUCAUGAGCUCUGCAAGGCUCCAAAUAAUCGUUGUAGCAGAAGUAUCGAAAGCUGCUGUGAUCAUGUCAAGUAAGAUGGCCUUCACAUUUUCACGAUCAAGAAAAUGAACUUGCUCAUCAUUCGGAUUCAACAGUUGGUUCGUAAACGAAAGCAACACGUCUACAAAGUCCUCAUGCUGGCCUUGUUUUCCACCCUUAGUUUCCGCAGCUUGUUCAUGAUCGUUAAUUAUCUUGUCCAAGAGUUGAUCGGCCGUCUUGCUCACUUUCUUCAAUCGCUUAGUCAAUCCCUGAUAAUUUUUCAAAUUAUGAAAGCAAAAUUAACAUAGAAAAUUAUAUUCAAGGCUACCUUAUACACUAGUCUAUGAUUAAUUGAAUACUUUAUACGAUACUCCAAGAUUUGAUCACCAUGAAAAAGACUACCUUGCUCACUUCAGCAGGAGGCAACAAAUUGAAUCAAAACUGGACCCGUCAACAAUAUAAUAAACUAAUAUGCAGGAGAUAUGGCUCACUAAAUAUAUAUUACCUAGACUAUUAAUAAAAAUAAAAAUCAAUUCUUACUAAAAAAUAUAAAAAAAUCAAUAAAAAUAUAAUAUGCCUAGCUACCCCGAGAAAAGGAAAUCCACUUGAAUUGACAAUUUGGUUUUUGUAUAAGAUGAUUGUUUUACCUAGCAGCUAGCAAAAUACGUCUCUGCACUAGUCACUACUGGCCAUCUCACAUUACUUUCACGAACUUAGUUUCCUAUGUUUGACUUCUAGAUUGUUGAUCCUAAUGUAGUUUGUAGAGACAAAGAAGAUUGAAGAUGUAGUGGGGAUGGUAUGAAAUGUAGUUCGUAGAGACAAAGAAGCUUGAAGAUCUAGUGGGGAUGGUAUGAAAUUUGUGAUAAUUUAGUGUUUGAUACAUGUAAAGGUAGACCAACUCCAAUCCGACUCAUAUAUCAAAUUAUCAAUGCAAUACAAGAAACUAAAGUGUGCGAAUAAUAUCAUCCGAUCCUAAAAUAAAGUGCAUUUGGCCGGAGCUACUAUAUUGUAGGUUGCAUCGGUUCAUAAAUGAAUGAUCGAAGAGAAAUGCCUAUGGGAAAGAGUAGGGAUUAGAAGCUAGCAAACCUGAAUAUCAAAUGCACUGAGGGAAGGAAUGAAAUCAGAAAUAUUGAAAGCCCCGACCAAGAAGAACAUUUCCUCAACGAAGGCUUUCAGAUCAAACUUAUCGUCCCUUUUACACCCCAACACCAUCCUAUACGUUAUGUCCUCAUUCAUCUCACCAAUCUUCUCACUAACAUCCACAACCUCACCUUCCUCUGCUGCUCUCUUCAGCUUUCCCACCAGCCCUCCCAGCUCCUCCUUCCGCAGCGGCGCGAAAGCCUCCAGUUUUGCAGGACAGAAGAGCUGAAGCGUGCAGAUCUUCCUCACAUGGCGCCAAUAGGGACCGUAUUCGGAAAAGGCCAGGCCCUUUGUGCCGUAGGCCAAGUACUCGGAGGCUUGGAUUUUUGGCCGGCUGGCGAAGUUAGUGUCAUGAGUUUUGAGGAAUAGCUCGGCGGCUUUUGGGGAGGAGAUAACAAUGGUAGGAACAUUGCCUAGACGAAGGGACAUGAUGUCUCCGUAUUGUUUGGCCAAGUUUUGGAGAGUUCGAUGGGGAAGGUUGCCUAGCAUGUGGAGGUUUCCGAUUAUGGGAAGUGGCCGAGGGCCGGGUGGUAGUUUUUGGUGUUUUGAUUUUGAGAAGGCAGAGAUGAGUGACCAAAGGCAUGCGAGGAGAACCAGGAGGAUGGCUAUCAUUGUUGGAGGAGUCAUUGUUUCUGGCUUUCUGAUCUGUGUGGAGUUGAGAGUUGAGAGGAAAUAAUGGGGAAGUAUGGGCGAUGACAAGCUCAGCUCAUCUGAUACCAUAAAAGCUAGAGAGAAAGUUUAGAGAAGAAGAUAAGGCUGCAAAUGAAUGAGAGAGAUUACGAGAAGCAUCUGAGGUUACAAGCUUAUAUACAGCUGAAAGAUAAGCACAUGAUAAACACGUGUAGAGCCAACACUGCUGAGAAUAAGUUAAUUAACUAAACAGACUAAUUGUAAUUAGCUUAAGUAAGCACAAACUAGUAACUAAUUAAAGCUCAUAGUCUAACACUGCCGUGAUAUACAUUGUUAACUUAAUCUUUUUCAUCUGAUGACGCAGCCGUAAGAAAAUUUUGGUUUCAAUAGAGGACGACAUUCAACGUUUUUUUGGUCUGCACAGAAAAUAUGUGUGGAGACUGGAGAGUAGGAUCUUAAACACGACUUUUACAAAUCAAGAAUUGUAGUUGUUAGUAUGGACCCUAUUUGGGUAUGUUCCAGAAUCAAGAUAGCAUUAAAGCGAUAAAGGUAAAUGGUCGAUCAUGAGAGCACAGCACAGCUAACAAGUCCUAAUGCUAAUACAUACUAUCGUCAACAGCAUAUGAAGGUGAAUGGUCCAACCUGCCAUCUGCACAAGGAGAAUGGCUUGAUUACGGCAUUAGACUAGUUUUGAAUACAAUCAACAUAUAUGUUACUUCUCAAGGAAAAUUCUAGCCUACAUAUCUGCAUACUAACAUAUCUUGGCCCCCAAUCUACUUCGUUGAUCCCGGCGGCCGAACCGCGCGCUGUCAUUGUCGGCUGUCCAUCAGUCUCCACCCCGACGUCCACCAGCGUUUUAGCAACUCUGACCUAGGUCCAGGCCCUGACUUCCCUCCACAAUGCAAUGGACUGAGUGGAGAACCCCGCCGCGCUGCUCCGCCAAAUCGUGCAUGCAGAUUGUAUUUUGAAGACUAUGGAAUUGAGUACCAUCUUAUAUUUUCUUAGAAGAUACAGAGUUGUACUCUUUAAUUGUUUGGAAGAACACUGAACACUAAAGAAAACAAGCUUAAAAUGAAUCAGCUAGUGGUAUUUGCAUAAUUACAGUUCCGGCCAAAGAAACUUGCUCUUGAAAUCGUGUAUAUGUAACGAACAUAUUGUUACAUAAUAGAAACAACAAUACUGAUGGAAUCGUAUCUUAAUUGCAUUUCGUAUAAUUUUUAAGCUGCAGAAUAAUAGGUGUGGGUGAAUGUUGAGAGCGUAUUCAGCGCACCCGGGUGCGCUGUAUAAUUUUCGGUGAAUAUUUAUUGAAACCCAACAAACUACAUAAGAUUAUUACAUUGAAAAUAUGACCUACAUCAGACGAUUAAGGUUUUUUUUUUUUUAUAAAACAUAAGACGAUAAGUUGGCUUGGCAAGCAAGGGUUUGCCUUUUGAGUUUUGACAUUGAUAAACCAAAAACCUCGCACUCGGACAUGUCCAGUUCUUGAGGUAGCAUGUCAUAUAGGAGCUCCCAGUUAAAGCAACGCACCAGCUGUGCCAGAACCGCCCAGAAGUACCAGCCUAACUGUGGCUAGCCCUAACUGCAUACCUGGACACCCUCUUAGGCCAGACCCGGCCCAAAUGGUAUGAGCUCAAAGUCAUGUCCCAAGAGGUCUACCUUUCUGUUCAUGAACCUUUCAGGAUAAAAUUGCUCCACAUUUUCCGACCAAACGUUGGGAUCUAUUCCAAUGCUCCAGACGUUUACUAUGAUCCUCGACUUCUUGGGUAUGUCAUAUCCAUCGAUUGUAAUGUCGUCGAUGGAUUCAUGCAUGUGGUCCUAGUAAUGGACCAACUGGGUGUAGCCUCAUGCUCUCCUUGAUCACCAUAUUCAAGUAACCCAGCUUCGGCAAGUCAUUCUCUUCCACCAUUCGGUCCAUAUAUACCAACCACAGUUUGGAGCUCUUCUAGCUUGGAGGUUCUUCAUAACCCUUGGAUGCCUCAAGAGCUAGGAAAAUCCCCAAAUAAUUGUUGUAGCUGAAGUAUCAAGAGCCCCCGUGAUCAUGUACGUCUAGUAAGAUGGCUUUCACAUUUGUUCGAUCAAGAUAAUGAACUUGCUCAUCGUUUGGGUUCAACGGUUGGUUCGUUAAGGAAAGCAACACGUCUACAAUGUCAUCAUGCUGGCCUUGUUUCCCACUCCUAGUUUCCGCAACAAUUCAUGGUCGUCAAUUAUCUUGCCCAAGAGUUUAUCGACUGUCUUACUAACUCUCUUCACUCGCUUAGUCAAUCCUUGAUAAAUAACUUACAGAUGCGUUGUAGUAGCUAAACAUCUAAUAAAAGUCAGUAUUACCCCCACCAUCCAAUUUAUUUACGGAUACAUUUUCAGACGUGUUUCCUUUCUGAGAACAUAUUCUGAAAUUACAAGGUGCCGGACAUGCUCUGGUACGGUCGAAAACUUUUGGUGACCGCAGGAAAAAGCCGUAUACGGUGAGGCAAUAAUGACUUUUCGACCCUAUAGUUGUAUGCUAAACACUUACGCACUAAGAUGAAGAGUCAGUUCUGCCCCACUAUCCAGUUUAUUUACAGACGCAUUUCUAAACGUUUCCAGCGUGUUUCCGAACGUUUCUUACGCGUUUCCGAGAACAGAUUAUGUAUCAUAAAGGCACUGAGAACACUCUAGUACGGCUAAAAACUUCCGGGGACUGUCGGAAUAGGCCGGAUACGACGGGAUAUAUAUCCGUAAAUAAGUUGGAUACGUAGAGACAAUAAUGAUGUUGCCUCCCAUAUGUAUACUACAAUUGGGGAGCUCCCAGUUGUGCGUGAACUAGCUGGACCUAACCCAACUGCAAUUAGGCCCAUUUUUAGACCAGACACUCUUUCGCUGAUGAUCCGACCCGACCCAAAUGGUAUCAGAUAAUUUCCAGGGUCAAAAGUGAAAACCAUGAUAGAUUCAAAUUUACAGAGUUGCAGUUACAAUGAAGACCCAGAAUUCUACUCUGCUUCUGUUAAAACCAUUAUUACUACUAUAACCAAUCGUCUCCGACUAGCUGUGGAACCAGAUCUCUGAGACAGAGAGAGGAUCGUUGACCGUUGACCGAUCCAACCAAUGGCUCAGAUCUUCGAGCACUUCGUCGUCUGCGGCAUCGGGCCGGAGAUUCGAACCCUCGACGGCGGCAGAGGAUUCCACGGCUUCGCCGAAAUGUACCUCCCGUCUUUGCUCGACCAGUUCCCUCCCGCCAACCACACUCUCUAUCCUCCUCCACCGCCUCAGCUCCCCACCGUAAGUACCGAAACGACGCCGGUUUUGCUUUGCUCUCUCUCGCCGGAAUCGGCGAAUUCUAAUUUCGGUUGUGGUUUUCUACAGUGUGUGCUGCCAGCUGGCGUUUCGUCGUUUCCGCGGAGCUAUCCCAUUGUUCUUACUGGUAUGAAUGCCUUGAGCUCUCUCGCCUAUUUUGCUUCACUCUGCUCUUAAACGAUGUCGUUUUCUGUAAUUAAUAAAUCUUCUCUUGGAUUCAUUUGGGAGUACUGGAUUAAUUGGAUUUUGGACUCUAGUUACAUUCAUCUUGGCUUGGAAAGGAGCCAAAAGAGUUGGACAUCUGAAGUUGAAUAUGAUGAAUACAAAUUGCUUUAUAGAGUUGCAGGCUUAUUAAAUUACAUCUUAUUGCUGUUUCUAAUUUUCCUUGGUUCUCUCUCAGCGCACCUUCUGUCCUUACUGGUAAAGACCCCAAAUCAGAUCCAUUGGAGCGGGCUGUAAGUCCUAUACUCCUUCUACAUGAUAUCUAGUAGGUUACUUUAGAGCUUUCGUUAGCUAGUGUAAUAUUGUUCAUUCAGGCUGAAAGGGAAUGUAUGGUUUUGAACAUCAAAGUUAAGCUGCAGGUACAUUUUUUUUGGGGUUAAAUAUACAUACUUGUGUACAUUUUUGUUCAACUCUUGUUGUCCUGUUCUACAUUAUCUACUAUUGGUUUUACAGAUGGGAUGAAAAUAAUUGAUGUGCAUGGUUAUGACCUUAUACUAGGAGUUUAUUAUCAUUUCUCUUAACAGAAAAAUUGACUAAAAAAACUCGGUCAAUAAAUUGGCCUGCCAUCUUUUGGUCUCUUUUAGCAUUGUCCAAUGUUUAAAUCCCCAUCAACUGCCACAUCGUUUGCUUAGAUGUGGUGCACCAAACUGUGGGCUAUUUAGUCAAUAUUCAUUCAAUUAAAUGAUUUACUUCUGACUAGUUUUCAAGAUUAAAAACAAGAGAACUAGAAGUAUAGGAUUGAUGGUCUUGAAUCUUGAUACUGUCUGGCCGUUGCUAAAAUGCUAAUCGAUGUGCGUAUGACAAUUACAAUUUUUGGCAUAUAAUAAUGUAAUUAUGUUUGAUGAGCAGGGUCUGUGGCUGCGUCUUCUAAAACUGGGACCUACUGAUAAUCCUCUUUCUUCAUUUGAGUAUGGAACAAUUCUUGGUAUGCCUCUUUGAAUAAUGAACUCUCACAUUUCUUACGAUGAGGCAAACUUCUGAUGUCUAGUUCUUGAAAGUAUAUCUUGCUUGGACCUUACUAUUUUGGCUCUGCAGCUUUAAUUGAAUCGGAUGCAGAGGGGAUUGGUGGCAGUGGGUUUGUUGAAUGUAUAAGGGAGCACAUAAAUUCGGUAUGUUUCUCUUGAAAUAAUUCAUGGUUCUCUCCACCCUCUAGAAGUAUCCAUAAAACAUAAUAUUAAUAGUGGAUUUAUACGCUCUCAGGGAUGGCACUGUCAGUUAACUGAAGAACAAUUUAUUGCUGUGAAGGAACUGGUACAAAUUCUAAGUCAAUAUUCAAAGGAGUGAUCUUAUUUGAUUUAGGAUUAGUAACAGUUUGAGAUUGCAACAUCAAAAGCCAUGGUUAUGUUUUAAACUGUUCUUCACUGAUUCAUCAAUUCCUUUUACUAGUGUUGAUACUAUUUAGUUCAGGAAAAACAUAUAUUGUUCUCAUCAAUAGUUUAACCGCAUGUGGUCUUAAGAGUGUGUGUUUUCUGUUUUGUAGACAAACCAUGAGCGCGAGACAAGUGGGCAGAAUGAUGCUCUGUUUUUGGAAAGUAGGUGCUAUUUUUUCUUGACCGAUGGGUGGAUUCUCAUAGUGAACAAUUGAGUCUAGUUCGAGGAAAUUUUUUUUUUUGUUGAGAUGGUCAUGUAACAUUAAGCAGAGUAUGCUCACAGAUUUUAAUGGUAUAGUUACUUUUAAAUGGUCAUGGUUAUAGUUUGUUUGUUUGUUUUUUUUUUUUCACAAUAUUCAAUCAUGUUUGAGAAAUUGCCAAUUGUGCUUUCAAUAGUACUGAAGAAAACAUUUUAUUAGUUUUUACCCAUGCUUGUGUUGCUCAUUUCGAAUGGAUCCGGAUUCUCUGUUUGGAUAGUUGGAUUUAUGUUGUUUGAAUUUGUUUGGAUGUCUUGUAACUAUUAGAUGAAGUAAGGAUGACAUUACGGUUUUAGAUUAUACUUAAUCUAAUGGUUAGAAAUCAUCCACGUAAAUUUAAGCAACAUAAAUCUAAAUAGAGAAGUCAAAUUCAUUUCGGAUAACAGAUGGAUGAACACGCUACAUAAGACGGUACGUAGGCUUGGCAAGCAAGUGUUUGGCUUUUGACAAUGACAAACCAAACUUCUCUGUCAUGUCCAAGUCUUGGGGUAGCAUGCCAUUUGGGAGCUCCCAGUUAAAGCAAUGCAUCAGCUGUGCCAGAACUAGCCUAACUGUGGUUAGCCCUAAUUGCAUACCCGGACACCCUCUUCGGCCAGUCCCAAAUGGGAUGAGCUGAUAGUCAUGUCCCUGAAGGUCUAUGUUGCUGUUUGUAAACCUUUCCGGACAGAAUUCCUCAACAUUUUCCGACCAAACAUUGGGAUCCCUUGCAAUGCUCCAGAAAUUCACUAUGAGUCGCGAUUUCUUCGGUAUGUCGUAUCCAUCGAUUGUAAUGUCCUUGAUGGAUUCAUGUGGGAGGAGCAAGGGUGCAACUGGGUGUAGUCUGAAGCUCUCCUUGACCACCAGAUUCAAGUAAUCCAGCUUUGGCAAAUCAGAUUCUUCUACCCCUCGGUCCAUACCAACCACAAUUUGGAGCUCUUCUUGGAGUUGCUUCAUGAUCCUUGGAUGCCUCAUGAGCUCUGCAAGGCUCCAAAUAAUCGUUGUAGCAGAAGUAUCGAAAGCCGCUGUGAUCAUGUCAAGUAAGAUGGCCUUCACAUUUUCUCGAUCAAGAAAAUGAACUUGCUCAUCAUUCGGAUUCAACGGUUGUUUCGUAAACGAAAGCAACACAUCUACAAAGUCCUCAUGCUGGCCUUGUUUUCCACCCUCAGUUUCCGCAGCUUGUUCAUGAUCGUCAAUUAUCUUGUCCAAGAGUUGAUCGACCGUUCUGCUCACUUUCUUCAAUCGCUUAGUCAAUCCCUGAUAAUUUUUCAAAUUAUGAAAGCAAAAUUAACAUAGAAAAUUAUAUUCAAGGGUACCUAAUACACUACUAGUAUCCAUGCAUUUAGGCAAUCUAAACUGAGUAUGAUUAACUGAAUACUUUAUUUGAUACUCCAAGAUUUGAUCACCAUGAAAAUGACUACCUUGCUCCCUUCAGCAGGAGGCAACAAAUUGAAUCAAAACUGUACCCGUCAACAAUAUAAAAUAAUAUGCAGGAGAUAUGGCUCACUAAAUAUAUAUUACCANNNNNNNNNNNNNNNNNNNNAAUAAAUAUGCCUAGCUGACCCCGAGAAAAGGAAAUCUGCCUGAAUUGACUAAUUGGUUUUUUUUUAUAAUAUGAUUGUUUUACCUAGUGGCUAGCAAAAUAUGACUCUACACUGGUUAUUACUGGCCAUCUCAGUGAUCUCACAUUACUUUCACGAACUUAGUUUCCUAUGUUUGACUUCUAGAUUGUUGAUCCUAAUGUAGUUUGUAGACACAAAAAAGCUUGAAGAUUAGUGGGGAUGGUAUGAAAUUUGUGAUAAUUUAGUGUUUGAUACAUGUAAAGGUAGACCAACUCCGAUCCGACUCAUAUAUCAAAUUAUCAAUGCAAUACAAGAAAAUAAAGUGUGCGAAUAAUAUCAUCCGAUCCUAAAAUAAAGUGCAUUUGGCCGGAGCUACUAUAUUGUAGGUUGCAUCGGUUCAUAAAUGAAUGAUCGAAGAGAAAUGCCUAUGGGAAAGAGUAGGGAUUAGAAGCUAGCAAACCUGAAUAUCAAAUGCACUGAGGGAAGGAAUGAAAUCAGAAAUAUUGAAAGCCCCGACCAAGAAGAACAUUUCCUCAACGAUGGCUUUCAGAUCAAACCUAUCGUCCCUUUUACAUCCCAACACCAUCCUAUACGUUAUGCCCUCAUUCAUCUCUCCAAUCUUCUCACUAACAUCCACAACCUCACCUUCCUCUGCAGCUUUCUUCAGCUUUCCCACCAGCCCUCCCAGCUCCUCCUUCCGCAGCGGCGCGAAAGCCUCCAGUUUCGCUGAACAGAAGAGCUGAAGCGUGCAGAGCUUCCUCACAUGGCGCCAAUAGGGACCAUAUUCGGAAAAGGCCAUGCCCUUUGUGCCGUAGGACAAGUACUCGGAGGCUUGGAUUUUUGGCCGGCUGGCGAAGUUAGUGUCAUGAGUUUUGAGGAAUAACUCGGCGGCUUUUGGGGAGGAGAUAACAAUGGUAGGAACAUUGCCUAGACGAAUGGACAUGAUGUCUCCGUAUUGUUUGGCCAAGUUUUGGAGGGUUCGGUGGGGAAGGUUGCCUAGCAUGUGGAGGUUUCCGAUUAUGGGAAGUGGCCGAGGGCCGGGUGGUAGUUUUUGGUGUUUUGAUUUUGAGAAGGCAGAGAUGAGUGACCAAAGGCAUGCGAGGAGAACCAGGAGGAUGGCUAUCAUUGUUGGAGGAGUCAUUGUUUCUGGCUUUCUGAUCUGUGUGGAGUUGCGAGUUGAGAGGAAAUAAUGGGGAAGUAUGGGUCCUGACCGAAAAUUAUUCAGCUCACCCGACAUCUCCGCUGUCAGUUUGAGCACGUGGACUUGAAAGUUGGGCGUUUGCUGUCUGUUAGGUAGGCGAGUGAUGGGGCUAGGGUAAGUGAGUGGAUGUGGAUCCGCUCCUCAGAAACUCAACUUAAUGAAUGGUAUGAACUGCUAUUUUUGCAUUCUUCUUUAUUAAUUUUUCUGCACUAAGGAGGAAGCCACCUUUGUAAAUUCAGUUCCUGGUUGCAAUAGUAGACAGUUAACUAUUGAUUAGUAGGGUAGUAGCUCUUUGGCACCUACUUCACAUAUUCUAGUUGACUUCGUAUCUAAAAAUGAACAGUUUGAUUCUCUUCCUUUCGUCUCAAGCAAAAUUUGUUUCAUGCCUUCUUUACAAUUUUAUGUAUCACUUUUCUUGCAAGUUUUAUAUCUAGUUUGAACUUUGAGGUGACUGGAACGGUGAAAGAAAGGAACUUACGAGAUUGGGGGUGGUGGGGGUACCUAUCGUCCAAGUUAUUAGUUCCGUUGAGUAAUGUAUUGUCAAUUAUUACACUCUUUUGGAUUCUUUCAUCUCACCCUGAAAUGAAUCUAUUAGCAGCAGGUCAUGACAGUGGGAUGAUCGUCUUUAAGUUAGAGAGGGAAAGACCAGCCUUUGCCGUCAGUGGUGAUUCUCUGUUCUAUGCUAAAGACCGCUUUUUGAAGUACUAUUGAGUUUUCAACCCAAUGAGAUACACAAGUUAUUCCAAUUCGACGGCCUGGUUCUAUCACUUUAAAUCAAAGCCCAAGGACCCUUUCUUACAGUCCUUCAGAAAAUGCCAUUCUUGUUUGCUCAGACUUGGACGGGGGAUCCUAUGAGUUGUAUUUCAUAUACCAAGAGACAGCAUUACAAGGGGUGACAGUACUCAAGAUGCUAAAAGAGGUGUUGGAGGUUCAGCUGUGUUUGUAGCACGGAAUAGGUUUGCUGUGCUUGAGAAAACCAGCAACUCUGUGUUGGUAAAGAAUUUGAAGAAUGAGGUUGUCAAACAGACUCCCCUUCCUUUUGCUGCUGAUGCAAUAUUUUACGCUGGUACAGGUAAUUUGCUGUGCAGGUCAGACGACAGUGUUUAUAUUUGAUCUCCAGCAGAGGACUGUUCUUGGUGAACUUCAAACCCCCUUCAUCAAGUAUGUUGUUUGGUCUAACGACAUGGAAAGUAUUGCCUUGCUGAGCAAACAUGCCAUAAUUAUUGCUAGCAAGAGGCUUGUGCACCAGUGCACUCUUCAUGAGACAAUCCGUGUAAAGAGUGGUGGUUGGGAUGACAAAGGUGUUUUCAUUUAUUCAACCCUGAAUCAUAUCACGUAUUGUCUACCUAAUGGAGAUAGUGGAAUAAUAAGAACCCUUGAUGUUCCUAUCUACAUUACGAAAGUUUCUGGAAAUACCAUCUUCUGCUUGGAUCGGGAUGGGAAAAAUAAGGCCAUAGUUAUUGAUGCCACAGAAGGAUCCGGCUCCUCUAAAGUGAGGAGUCCGUGAAGUUAGUCUAAGUUCAUAAAAUUCACACUCUUUAUCUAAUCUAAAGGGUAUGAGCAGGACACGUCACUCUUGAAUUAAUUUAAGCUAACCUAUGGUUAACUUUGAUAAACUACCGUCAACUACGUAACAAAAAAGAAAAGAAAAGAGGUUUUACGUCUUCUGCUAUAACACGUCCAACUGCUAUCUUCCUCUCUUGCUUCUAAGUCGAUCAAUUUGCUGCGCUAUACAUAUGCUCUGUUGCGAAUCACUAUGACGAACUUGGACUAUUGCGAAUCACUACAUUUGGUAUCCGGAUACAUACUUUCAGAACAUAUGCUCUAUUCCCAGGCAUUACUCUUCACCAAGGACUAUGGAUGAUAUCGUUCAGUAAUUGAAACCUAUUUGGCCGAUUUUGGAAUAGAGUUACUGUGGGAUUUGGAUCAGUUGCAUUUCCUACUGCGUGCUAUGAAAGAGGACCAUUUGAUGUUUCUAAACUUUGAAAUCAGCUGUUUGAUAUUUUUGCAUUUGGGACGCACAUAACGUGUUUGAUGAAAUGACAAGCUCAAUUUUUGAAUAUUGACUUCAGAUUUUGUUCAAGUUAACAUGGAGUAUGAUUUUGGUAUUAAUUGACAAAGGCCAUAAAGCUGAUUUUCAUCUGUACUAAUUUCAUUUUUCAUCUGUAGUUUGAGCACUUCUUAGAUGUAUUAUUCUUAUUUUGUGUUUUCAAAACUGGAAAACACACAUCUAAGCAGGCAAAUACUUGUUUGUUUCAUCUCACUUUUUGCAAAAGCAAGACCUACUUUAUCAACUAAGUUGUUAUAUAAAAGUUAAUGCAAUGCAUGGUCGACAAAGCUGGAAAAUAUUGCUCGUAAGGAACUGUGAAAACUGAUUCUCUAAUUGUAGAUAUGGACAUGAGCAAAAAUUGACAUGGACAUGAGCAUCUGUAAUUAUCAAAACUGAUUAUCAAACAUUAUUUCAAAUUUAAAUAAUCCAUACAAACAUGAGUACAUUACUUUCCUCUAGAUCCAUGAAAUUUUUAAUAGCAACUAAAAACGAUAACAGAGGUACAACCAUCAUCAUCUAAUUUCCAGCACAUAUAUAGAAGUUCGCUAUGUUUGGUAACCAACUAAACGAGUGGACAAUUGUUUCUUCCUCUUGCUUGAUGGUGGAGCUCCUUGAUCCUAUAUGACAAGAAUGAAAAUCGAAAAAUUACGUUCAAUUGCGUAGAUCAUAAACAUAUAUAGGACAUGUACAUACAUCAAUAAUGUUUUUUCUUCACAAUAUUCAAUCAUGUUUGAGAAAUUGCCAAUUGUGCUUUCAAUAGUACUGAAGAAAGCAUUUUAUUAGUUUUUAUUCGAAUAACAGAUGGAUGAACAAGCUACAUAAGACGGAAUGUAGGCUUGGCAAGCAAGUGUUUGGCCAUUGACAUUGACAAACCAAACUUCUCUGUCAUGUCCAAGUCUAGAGGUAGCAUGCCAUUUGGGAGCUCCCAGUUAAAGCAGUGCACCAGCUGUGCCAGAACUAUCCUAACUGUGGUUAGCCCUAAUUGCAUACCCGGACAUCCUCUUCGGCCAGUCCCAAAUGGGAUGAGCUGAUAGUGAUGUCCCUGGCGGUAUACGUUGAUGUUCGUAAACCUUUCCGGACAAAAUUCCUCAACAUUUUCCGACCAAACAUUGGGAUCCCUUGCAAUGCUCCAGAAAUUCACUAUGAGUCGCGAUUUCUUCGGUACGUCGUAUCCAUCGAUUGUAAUGUCCUUGAUGGAUUCAUGUGGGUCGAGCAAGGGUGCAACUGGGUGUAGUCUGAAGCUCUCCUUGACCACCAGAUCCAAGUAAUCCAGAUUUGGCAAAUCAGACUCUUCUACCAUUCGAUCCAUACCAACCACAGUUUGGAGCUCUUCUUGGAGUCGCUUCAUGAUCCUUGGAUGCCUCAUGAGCUCUGCAAGGCUCCAAAUAAUUGUUGUAGCAGAAGUAUCGAAAGCAGCCGUGAUCAUGUCAAGUAAGAUGGCCUUCACAUUUUCUCGAUCAAGAAAAUGAACUUGCUCAUCAUUCGGAUUCAACAGUUGCUUCGUAAACGAAAGCAACACGUCUACAAAGUCCUCAUGCUGGCCUUGUUUUCCACCACCCUUAGUUUCCGCAGCUUGUUCAUGAUCGUCAAUUAUCUUGUCCCAGAGUUGAUCGGCCGUCUUGCUCACUUUCUUCAAUCGCUUUAUUCUCUUAGUCAAAAUCCUUGAUAAUUUUUCAAAUUAUGAAAGCAAACUUAACAUAGAAAAUUAUAUUCAAGGCUACCUAAUACACUAGUCAAGACUUCAAGUCUCUUCUAAUUGAAAAUUAUAUUCUUACUAAAAAAAUUUAAAAAAAUCAAUAAAAAUAUAAUAUGCCUAGCUGCCCCGAGAAAAGGAAAUCCGCUUGAAUUGACAAUUUGGUUUUUUAUAAUAUGAUUGUUUUACCUAGCAGCUAGCAAAAUACGACAUUGCACGACUGCACUGGUCACUACUGUCAUCUCACAUUACUUUCACGAACAUAGUUUCCUAUGUUUGACUUCUAGAUUGUUGUUGAUCCUAAUGUAGUUCGUUGAGACAAAAAAGCUUGAAGAGGUAGUGGGGAUGGUAUAUAUGAAUUUGUUGAUAAUUUAGUGUUUGAUACAUGUAAAAGUAGAUCAACUCCGAUCCGAUUCAUAUAUCAAAUUAUCAAUGCAAUUUAAGAAAAUAAGGUGUGAAUAACAUCAUCCUAAAAUAAAGUACAUUUAGCCGGAGCUACUAUGUUGUAGGUUUGCAUCGGUUCAUAAAUGAAUGAUCGAAGAGAAAGAGUAGGGAUUAGCAAACCUGAAUAUCAAAUGCACUGAGGGAAGGAAUGAAAUCAGAAAUAUUGAAAGCCCCAACCAAGAAGAAUAUUUCCUCAACAAUGGCUUUCAGAUCAAACCUAUCGUCCCUUUUACACCCCAACACCAUCCUAUACGUUAUGUCCUCAUUCAUCUCACCAAUCUUCUCACUAACAUCCACAACCUCACCUUCCUCUGCUGCUCUCUUCAGCUUUCCCACCAACCCUCCCAGCUCCUCCUUCCGCAGCGGCGCGAAAGUCUCCAGUUUUGCAGGACAGAAGAGCUGAAGCGUGCAGAUCUUCCUCACAUGGCGCCAAUAGGGACCAUAUUCGGAAAAGGCCAUGCCCUUUGUGCAGUAGAAGUACUCGGUGGCUUGGAUUUUUGGCCGGCUGGCGAAGUUAGUGUCAUGAGUUUUGAGGAAUGGCUCGGCGGCUUUUGGGGAGGAGAUAACAAUGGCAGGAACAUUGCCUAGACGAAGGGACAUGAUAUCUCCGUAUUGUUUGGCCAAGUUUUGGAGGGUUCGAUGGGGAAGGUUGCCUAGCAUGUGGAGGUUUCCGAUUAUGGGAAGUGGUCGAGGGCCGGGUGGUAGUGUUUGGUGUUUUGAUUUUGAGGAGGCAGAGAUGAGUGACCAGAUGCAUGCGAGGAGAACCAGGAGGCCGGAUUGCUAUCAUUGUUGGAGGACUCAAUGUUGGAUCCAAAUUUGCCAACCAGCAGCAUUAUGCUGGUCAUAGCACCACCCAACGAGGUGCUGACACCUGUAUUGCUUAAUCUCUUCACAGAGCAAAUUAAAUGUUAACCUGAUAUUUAGAAAAGAAAAAAAAAAAACUCUCUCUCUAUACCUCUCUUCUUGUCCCCGCCAGAAACCACCACAGUACCACCCACCCCGCCGGAAACUACCACCCACCCCACUACCUUUAACUAUGAUCAUACCCAAAAUUUCCCACCAGCAGUAUAUUUGAAUCUGUUAAGAUUCACCAAUUUAUUUACCAAAACCUUGCAAGAGUCGAAAGCAGCAUCUUCCCCAUCCCUUCCCUCCUGUAGCACUCCCUCACAAACAAAUCCUCCACAUAAAACCCAGGCUUGCCCAGAAAUGUUGAAUAAUUCGAAAAAAACAACACAAACCCGGCAACCACAGCGUCGCCAACGCCGGAGCAGAACACGAGCCUCUCGGGGUCUUCAACAGGGGGGUCGAGAUUGAGGGUUUUGACAACAGGGUGGUAGUGGGCGUCGUUAGGGAAAAGAGUGGGGCAGGCUUCGAGGACGAAAACGGUGAAGGACUGGAAAGAUGGACUGCUGGUGGGAAAUUUUGGGUAUGAUCAUAGGUAAAGGUAGUGGGGUGGGUGGUAGUUUCCGGCGGGGUGGGUGGUAUUUGUUGAUAGUAUUUCUCAUAUUAACCUAGCUGUUAUUCUGUUGUAACAGAAUUAUAAUAAUGUCCUAUAAGAGUGUAACACGUGUCAUUAGUACAGCUGUGUUUUUUAUUGUCUGUUAGUGCAUCAGGAUCAGCUUGUAUAAAUAUCAAAACUCUCUCUCUUUUGGAACCUGGAUUCAUUUUGUGAAAUAGAAAGAAUUGAGCUCUGUUAUUCUCUCUGUUCGUCUCUUAUUCUUUUCCUUCAAACCCUAGAAAUCAAAGCUUUGCUAGUUUCUGAUGCCAUGGCUAUCAUAGUGUCAGAGCUACCAUAGAUCCUAGACCUGUUAUGCUAUGCUUCCGCAUACUCUACUGAUCGUUCUCUUUGUUUCUAUGUUCAGAUCUAGCUUUGUGCCAAGUUGAGCAAAGUUGAGCUGCGUCUAGAGGUGCUUUCGUCAUCAAAGCUUUCUCUAAGGUUUCGGUUCUCUCUUUCAGGUGAAUCCUGUUGAUUUUUACUGUUGUUGUGAGUAGAUCUUGAGUUUUUGGCGUAAAUUGGAGUGAAAAUUGGAGUAUAUAGAGAUUGUUGUCAAAUUUCUGAGUAGAUCUUGUGCCUGAGUAAAUCUGAGUAAAAAAAAAAUAAAAAAAAUAGGAGUAUAUAGAGCUUGCUAUCAAAGUGUUUGAGCCUUUGGAGUAAAUCGAAGUAAAUCUGGGAAUAUAUAGAGCUAUUGUUCAAUUUUGUGAACAAAUCCGAGCAGUUUUCAGUGAUUGUUGAAUCGUAUAGAGCUAGUUUGCACUUUGCUGUGAUCUUUUGUAAAAUGGUUCAGAUUUUUGAGCAAUUCUUGCGUACAUUGUGUAUCUCUUUCAGUGUUAUAUAAAGAUUUGACUAUGUUUAGUGGAAUGAUAAGUUUGUUAUACAAAGAUUUGACUAUGUUCAGUGGAAUGAUAAGUUGGUAAUAGUGCAAGUCAAGAAGAUUUUAGAUAUUACAGUUUCUUGGCUCAGAAGUUUUCUAGGUUUUAUCAGUCUGUUCUUGUGAUCUUCAUUAAGAGAGAAGUGGUAGAACUUGUUGUUUUUUGGAACAAGUAAGCAGUGCAGAGUUAAUCAUUGGAGGUAUAGGUUGAGAAAUUCUUUUGUGAGCUCUGUUGGUAAUUUUGUAUUGUGAUCAACAGAAAUGGCUUCUCAAACUAUCACUCAUUCUGAUGUUCAUUCCUUGCUGAGUAUCAUCACUAUGCGUCUUGGAGAGAGAAACUUCAUCAAAUGGAGUUUUCAGUUUCAAUCAAAUCUUGCUGAAAAUGGCCUUUUUGGCUAUUUUGAUGGUUCAAAGGUUGCACCUCCCAGAUAUGCCCUUACUUUAGCAGGAGAAGUUAUAAAUGAGGAAACAGCUGCUUAUAGAACAUGGAAGCAAACUGAUAUGGCUCUUUUGAGUUUAUUAAUGGCAACCCUUGAUGAAGAUGUUAUAGAUGUGAUAAUUGGUUGCAAGACUUCCAGGCAAGCCUGGAUUGCUCUUCAAGAGCGAUUUUCUGCUGUUUCAAGAGUUAGCAUCAUGCAACUGAAAACUGAACUUCAGACUUUGCGCAAAGGCAGUGAAUCAAUUGAGAAGUAUUUGCAGCGAGUAAAAAAUGCAAGGGACCAGCUUUUAUCUGUGGGAGUAUCUAUUCCAAAUGAAGAUAUAAUCAUUAUGAUUUUGAAUGGCUUACCUGAUGAAUUUUCUACUGUGAGAACUGUCAUUGAAGGAAGAGAAACUCCUAUUUCUCUGCGAGAUUUGAGGUCUCAGUUGUUGUCUGCUGAAAGAAGAAUAAAAGGAAGCUUUUCUCUCAUAUCCCAUAUGUCUGCUAUGGUUGCUAGAAAUGAUCAAGGCUCAAGAGAUGGGAAUAGAGGUUGGAAUAACUCUAGAACAGAAGGCAAGUCUAAAGAUAACAAGUACAAUGGUAACACAAGUGCAGUUGAAUGUUCAGUAUGUGGGAAAAGAGGACAUACUGUGGAUACCUGUUUCAAAAUUCACAAAUGCCAAAUUUGCGGCAAGCAUGGUCAUCUUACCAGUACAUGUUAUCAAAACCCUGACUAUAAGCCUCAGCAGCCACAAGAGCAGCGUAGACAGACUUUUCCUAAUGCAAGUAAUGGUCCUGCACCUGAAUGUCAAAUUUGUUCCAAGAGAGGUCAUACAGCUGCAAACUGUUUCUAUAGGAUAGAUGUACCUGAUGGACAUCCCUCUCAAUCCAUUCCAACCUGUCAGAUAUGUGGACUUAAGGGUCACAUUGCCCUAAACUGUUCUCAUAGAACCAACUUUGCUUAUCGAGGGUCUGAUCCUCCUUCAACUCUCACUGCUCUUACAGCUCAGACUAGUGGAAAUGGUUCUGGAACAUUUCAUCACAGUCAAGGAGAAGGUUAUGUUGUUUCUCAUGGUUCUUCUCACUCUCCAUUUCCUGGUGGAUUUAAUCCUAACAGUGGUGCCUCUUCUUCUAGCAAUGGUCCAGCCUCUCAUUCUCAGUCCACAAAUGAAGUUUGGGUAGGAGAUUCUGGUGCUACUCACCACAUGACCUCAGAGUUGAGAAAUCUUACCAUUGCUUAGCCCUACUCUUCAGACAACAAGAUAACUAUUGGUAAUGGUACAGGUUUAAAUAUCACUCACACUGGUUCUAGUCCUAUAAAACCUGCUGAUCAUGUGUUGCAGCUCAAUCAAGUUCUCCAUGUUCCUGAUUUGGCAAUGAAUCUAUUGUCAUUUACAAAAUUAUGCAGAGAUAAUAAUUGUUUUAUUACUCUUGAUGAAACGAAUAUUGCUUUGCAGGACAAGGCAUCCAAAACAGUUCUCUACCAAGGAAAGAGUAGUGAGGAAGGCUUGUUUCUUUUCAACACUCCUCUUGCUUUUUCUAUUGCUCAAAUAUCUCCAUCUGCCUUUGUCAUCACAGCUUCAUCAAAUUUUUCCUUAUGGCAUCAAAGAUUGGGUCAUCCUUCUCCUCAGGUUUUGUCAACAAUGUUAGAAAAAUCUCAAAUCAAAAUUCCUAGUUCAGGUUGCUCUUUCUGUUUAGAAGGCAAGAUGCACAGACUAUCUUCUCUUAGUUCUGAUGCAAAAUCAUCUGUACCUUUUCAUAAGUUACAUUCUGAUGUAUGGGGUCCAGCUCCAUGUUUGUCAAUUGAGGGGCAUAGGUAUUAUGUCACUUUUAUUGAUGACUGUACUCGUUUUGUAUGGAUCUUUCCUUUAAUCAAUAAAUCUGAUGUUCUUGCCACUUUUGUAAAAUUUCAUGCCUUUGUGGAAAACCAAUUUCAAUCUUCCAUAAAAAUAUUUCAAACUGAUGGUGGUGGUGAAUUCAAUAGCAAGGCUUUUCAUAAUUUUCAUGCCUUGAAAGGCAUCAUUCAUCAGAUUACUUGCCCUCAUACCCCACAACAAAAUGGGAUAACAGAGAGAAAGAAUAGACAUCUUGUCGAAACUGCUAUUUCUUUGAUGUCUACUGCUAAAAUUCCAAAGCAGUUCUGGUUUCAUAGUAUUGCACAUUCUUGUUACCUCAUUAACAGAAUGCCUAGCAAGACUUUAAAAAUGUUUUCUCCCUAUGAGCUGCUCUUUCAUCAUCCUCCAGAUCUUUCUCAUUUCAAAAUUUUUGGUUCAAGCUGUUACCCUUAUCUCAAGCCCUACAAUUCUGAUAAAUUGGAUCCGAGAACAACUCAAUGUGUUUUUCUGGGAUAUGCUUUAGGGUACAAAGGGGUAUUUUGCUAUAGUAUUUCUCAAAACAGGCUUUGGAUGUCAAGACAUGUUGUCCAUGAUGAGACGGUCUUUCCUUUUCAAACUUCUAAUUUCUCUCAUUCUGCUCCUAUUGAUCCAGCCACAUUCUUUCCAUCUUCUUCCUCUUCCACUACUCUUUCUCCACCAUGGAUGCCUGUCCAUUCUUCUCCAGUCUCUUUAUCUGAGACAGCUACUGGUAGCAUUGCUGAUGAUAGCAUGAAUGAUACUUAUACAACGAAUUCUCAUGAUAUUGGGAACACUGUUGAUUCAUUGGAUGUUAAUAAUGAUACUCACCAUCAUGGUGGCACUGUGAAUGAUACUUCUGCUGGUUUGGGCAAUUCUUCUACUGAAAAUGCUGCUCUUCAUUCUACUAGUGUUGUUCUUGAGGAUAAUGUUGUUAAUAAUUUUCCUAGUGAGAGCUCACCUGUAAACAUUGACUCCAAUGUUGCAUCUAUCAUUUCUUCUAUUCAGAAUGAUACUCUUGUUAAUGUGGAUUUCUCUGCAAUGGAUUCAGAGGUUCAUUCAGUGUCAGCUCCAAUUUCAGCAAAUCCUGUUACUGAAAAUGACAUUUCAGUCCUUGGUGCACAUCAUCUGAAUGUUUUACAAUAUGGUGGCAAUUUGGAUACAGACAUUCCUCCGGAGCUUUCCUUUAUAGUUGAUCAAGACUAUAAUACUCAUUCUAUGCUGACUCGAGCCAAGAAUGGUAUAGUACAGAAGAAGACUUUUGAAGAUUUCUACUGUUACUUAGCUAUAGCUCAACAACAGCUUUACUCAGAAUAUCCUUAUUUUAGUGGCUUCACUGCUAUCACUGAUGUUAGUGAGAUUUUUGAGCCUAAAACUUUUCGAGCAGCAUCAGGAAGAAAGGAGUGGGAUCAGGCUAUGUUAGAGGAAAUAGAGGCUCUACAGAAACAAGGUACUUGGACUUUGGUCCCUUGUCCUCCUAACAUGAAUAUUGUAGGGAGCAAAUGGAUUUUCAAAGUCAAGAGGAAUCCUGAUGGCAGUGUGUCAAGAUAUAAAGCAAGGUUAGUGGCUCAAGGUUUUAGUCAAUCUAAAGGGCUGGAUUAUGAUGAAACUUUUAGCCCUGUUGUGAGACAUAGCACAGUUAGAGUUCUCUUAGCUCUUGCUGCAAUGAAUAAUUGGGAAUUAAGGCAACUUGAUGUGAAGAAUGCCUUUUUACAUGGUGAUCUGAAGGAGGAGGUUUACAUGUCUCAACCAAAAGGUUUUGAGGAUCCUAAUUUUCCUAAUCAUGUUUGUUUAUUUCAGAAAUCUCUUUAUGGGCUAAAGCAAGCUCCAAGAGCUUGGCAUGAGAAAUUCACCAGCUUUCUACCAAGCUUGGGAUUCUCAUUCUCUCAUUCUGAUCCAAGUCUUUUUAUAAGACAUACACCAGCAGGAAUGGUAGCUUUACUUUUAUAUGUAGAUGACAUAGUGAUUACUAGCUCAGAUGCACUCGGUAUUCAAGAGGUUAUUACUGAGUUGAGUUUAGUAUUUGACAUGAAAGAUCUUGGACCAUUGUCAUAUUUCUUAGGUUUAGAAGUAACAAGAAUUCACAAGGGAAUUCUUCUCACUUAAACCAAGUAUGCUACUGAUCUUCUGAGCAGGUCUGGAAUGGCAUCAAUGAAUACAUGUUCAUCUCCUUGUCUUCCACAUUCUUAAAUGACUGCAGAUCAAGGUACACCAUUACCAGACCCUACUGUCUAUAGAAGUAUAGUAGGUGCUUUGCAAUACUUAACAUUUACUCGUCCAGAUAUUGCAUACUCUGUCAAUACUGUAUGCCAAUUUAUGACAAGACCUACAGAUGUUCAUUAUGCUGCUGUCAAGAGAAUUUUACGAUAUCUAAAGGGUACUUUGAACAAAGGUAUCUUCUAUAGCUCAUCUGGUGCCAUGCCUAAUACUGUUAGUGUUAAAGCCUACUGUGAUGCAGAUUGGGCUGGUGAGAUUAUUCAAAAGAGAUCAACAACUGGCUUUGUUGUUUAUCUUGGUUUGGUCCUAUUUCUUGGCAGUCUAAGAAACAAGGGACAGUCUCUCGAAGCUCUACUGAGUCUGAAUACAGAAGCUUAGCAAACACUGCUGCUGAGAUUAGUUGGAUCAGGCAUCUCCUAUGUGAUCUGCAUAUCUCUAUUCCUUAUGCUCCACUUCUUAAGUGUGACAACUUGUCAGCCUUGGCUCUUGCUUCUAAUCCUGUCUUCCAAUCCAAAAUCAAGCACUUAGACAAUGAUUUCCAUUUUGUUCGAGAACGUGUUCAACGUAAUGAUCUUCGUUUGGCUUAUAUCCUUACCACAGAGCAAACUGCUGACAUUCUCACAAAGGGCUUGGCAUCUCCUCUCUUUAAGACUCACUGUGUCAAUCUCAGACUAGCUUCCCUAGCUGAGCUUGAGGGAGGGUGUUGAUAGUAUUUCUCAUAUUAACCUAGCUGUUAUUCUGUUGUAACAGAAUUAUAAUAAUGUCCUAUAAGAGAGUAACACGUGUCAUUAGUACAGCUGUGUUUUCUGUUGUCUGUUAGUGCAUCAGCUUGUAUAAAUAUCAAAACUCUCUCUCUCUCUUUUGGAACCUGGAUUCAUUUUGUUAAAUAGAAAGAAUUGAGCUCUGUUAUUCUCUCUGUUCGUCUCUUAUUCUUUUCCUUCAAACCCUAGAAAUCAAAGCUUUGCUAGCUUCUGAUGCCAUGGCUAUCAGUAUUGUGGUAGUUUCCAGCGGGGACAAGAAGUGAGGUAUAGAGGGAGAGUUUUCUUUUUUUUUCUUUCUAAAUAUCAGGUUAACCAUUUAAUUUGCUUUGUGAAGAGAUUAAGCAACACACGUGUCAGCACCUCGUUGGGUGGUGCUAUGACCAGCAUAAUGCUGCUGGUUGGCAAAUUUGGAUCCAAGUCUCCCAGACCACCAAGUGAUCCCGCAAGUUCGUCGCUGAUGCCUCCAAAAAACCCGAUGAGAAAACGCCGUUUAUAAGCAAGCCGAUUAGAUCAAACAAUCUUAAUUGGUUCGUCGGCGUUUUUUUUUCUUCAUUCUGGACAAACCUUCUUUUUACUGCAGCAUGAACAACGACUUUUUUUUAACACACAAGAAGUAUGGAUCCCACGCGCCCACGCGCUGUUAAAUGGACCGUUGGUGAUCCUUCAUUCAGUGGAGGGAAGAACCUCCGUGUCAAUACUAACUAACUUACCUUUUGGACAAGGUACCUUUGGUCGAUCAUGACAGCACAGCUGACAAGUCCUAAUGCUAGCUAAAUCGUACGAUCAUGAGUCAUGACAGCAUAUGAAGGUGAAUGGUCCAAUCUGCCAUAUGCACAAGGAGCAUUACGACAUUAGACUAGUUUUGAAUACAAUCAACAUGUUACUUCUCAAGUAAAAUUAUAGCCUACAUAUCUGCAUACUAACAUAUCUUGGCCCCCAAUUCUACUUCAUUGAUCCCGGCCGCCGAACCACUGUCAUUGCCGGCUGUCCAUCAGUCUCCACGUCGACGUCCACCAGCGUUUUAGCAACUGACCACCAUAGCAGUCCCGGCCCUGACUUCCAUCCACAGUGCAGUGGACUGAGUGGAGAACCCUGCCGCGUUGCUCCAAAUCGUGCAUGCAGAUUGUAUUCUGAAGACUAUGGAAUUGAGUAGCGCUCUUAUAUUUUCUUAGAAGAUACAGAUUUGUACUCUUUAAUUGUUUGGAAGAUCACUAAAGAACAUAGGCUUAAAAUGAACUAGCUAGUGGUAUUUGCAUAAUUAGAGUUCAUACCAAAGAACCUUGCUCUUGACUACCCUAAUCAAGUGUAUAUGUAAUGAACAUAUACUGUUGUUACAUAAUGCAAACAACAAUACUGAUGGAUUCAUACGUUAAAUUGUUAAUUGCAUUACGCAUAAUUUUUAAGCUGCAUAAUAAUAGAUGUGGAUGAAUGCUUGUUGAAAUCCAACAAACUACAUAAAAUUAUCACAUUGAAAAUAUAACCUACAUAAGACUAUAAAUUGGCUUGACAAGCUAGUGUUUUCCUUUUGACAUUUUUUUUUUGGUCUAAGUUUUCCUUUUGACAUUGAUAAACCAAAAACCUCGCACUCGGACAUGUCCAGUUCUUGAGGUAGCAUGCCAUUUGGGAGCUCCCACUUAGUUAAAGCAAUGAACCAGCUAUGCGAGAACUAGCCUAAAUGUGGCUAGCCUAACUACAUACCUGAACACCCUCUUUGCCCAGACCCAAAUGGUAUGAGCUCAAAUUUAUGUCCCAAGAGGUCUACAUGCUAUUCAUGAACCAUUCAAGAUAAAAUUCCCCCACAUUUUCCGACCAAAUGUUGGGAUCUCUUAUAAUGCUCCAAACGUUUACUAUGAUCCUCGAAUUCUUGGGUAUGUUGUAUCCAUCGAUUGUAAUGUCCUCGAUGGAUUCAUAUGGCCCUAGUAUUAGACCAACUGGGUGUGGCCUCAUGCUCUCCUUGAUCACCAUAUUCAAGUAACCCAGCUUGGGCAAAUCAAACUCUUGCACCAUUCGAUCCAUACCAACCACAGUUUGGAGCUCUUCUUGGAGGUUCUUCAUGACCCUUGGAUGCAUCAUGAGCUCUGCAAGGCUCCAAAUAAUCGAUGUGGUUGAGGUAUCAAAAGUCGCUGUGAUCAUGUCAAGUAAGAUGGCCUUCACAUUUUCUUGAUCAAUAAUAUGAACUUGCUCAUCAUUCGGGUUCAACGGUUGGUUCGUUAAGGAAAGCAACACGUCUACAAAGUCCUCAUGCUGGCCUUGUCACUCCUAGUUUCCGCAGCAACUUCAUGGUCGUCAAUUAUCUUGUCCAAGAGUUGAUCGUCCGUCUUACUAGCUCUCUUCACUCGCUUAGUCAAUCACUCAAUCCCUGUAAUAAAUAACUUCCCAGAUGCGUUAUAGUAGCUAAAUACCUAAUAAAAGUCAGUAUUACCCUCACCAUCCAAUUUAUUUACAGAUGCGUUUCCAAACGUUUCUGAUGUGUUUCCGGCCAUUUUCGACGUGUUUACGGUGUUUUCGAGAACAUAUUUUAAAAUUACAAGGCACUGGACACGCUCUGGUAUGGCCAAAAACGGCUGGUGACGGUCGAAAAAUGUCAUAUACGGUGGGGCAAUAAUGACUUUUCGACCCUAUAGUUGUAAACUAAACACUCACACACUAAGAUGAAGAGUCAGUUUUGCCCCACUAUCCAAUUUAUUUACAGACGCGUUUCUGACGCGUUUUCGGCUGAUUUUGACGUGUUUUCGAUAACAGAUUAUGAAUCAUCAAGGCACCGGGAACACUUUGGUACGGCCGGAAACUUCUGGGGACUGCCGGAAUAGACCGGAUAUGGCGGGAUACAUAUCCGUAGAUAAGUUGGAUACGUGGGACAAUAAUGAUCUUGCCUCCCAUAUGUAUACUACAAUUUGGGAGCUCCUAGUUGUGCGUGAACUAGCUGGACCUAACCCAACUGCAAUUAGGCCCAUUUUUAAACCAGACACUCUUUUGCUGAUGAUCCGACCCGACCCAAAUGGUAUCAGAUAAUUUCCAGGGUCAAAAGUGAAAACCAUGAUAGAUUCAAAUUUACAGAGUUGCAGUUACAAUGAAGACCCAGAAUUCUACUCUGCUUCUGUUAAAACCAUUAUUACUACUAUAACCAAUCGUCUCCGACUAGCUGUGGAACCAGAUCUCUGAGACAGAGAGAGGAUCGUUGACCGUUGACCGAUCCAACCAAUGGCUCAGAUCUUCGAGCACUUCGUCGUCUGCGGCAUCGGGCCGGAGAUUCGAACCCUCGACGGCGGCAGAGGAUUCCACGGCUUCGCCGAAAUGUACCUCCCGUCUUUGCUCGACCAGUUCCCUCCCGCCAACCACACUCUCUAUCCUCCUCCGCCGCCUCAGCUCCCCACCGUAAGUUACCUAAACGCCGCCGUUUUCGCUUUGCUCUCUCUCGCCGGAAUCGGCUAAUUCUAAUUCCGGUUGUGGAUUUCUACAGUGUGUGCUGCCAGCUGGCGUUUCGUUCUACUCCUCGGGGUUUGAUGCUAACGAUGCGACGACGUUUCCGCGGAGCUAUCCCAUUGUUCUUACUGGUAUGAAUGCCUUGAGCUCUCUGGCCUAUUUUGCUUCACUCUGCUCUUAAACGAUGUCGUUUACUGUAAUUAAGCUUGAGGAAUCGAUGUAGAAGCUAGAAUGAAGAUUAAUUAGGGCUAGGAUUAAGCUUUAGCAGAAAUUUGAUCGAUUAAAUGAGUUGUUGUUUCGAUUAGUAUGCUUAAAAAUUCCUUAGAACAGAGCCAUUGCUGUGUGCAUGUAGCCAAGCAAAUACUCUUCUCUAAAUGCUGUUCGUAAUGGUGCAGAGGGUGAUGGUUCAAAAAUCUAUGUUAGUUGCAUUGCUUUCCGGGAUCCAGUGAGUGAGGAUAUUGCGGAAGCUUAUUGUAUACCGGCAAAUUCAUUUGCUGAAAAAUGUAUAUGUCUAGUUUCGCGGUCACCUAGUCUCCGUUUACUUAAAAAUGUACUCGAGGAGUUGUUUGCUCUCUGUUUUUCCUCUAGCGGAAGCAGGUAAGAAUCUCUUAGUCUCGUAGUGGUGAGUUUUGGUGGUCUUUUGAUACUCCUGUCACAUUCAUGUUUCUGCAACAUUUACAGCAAACCAUUAUGGGAUAUCAUUGCAUCUAUGGUAUCCAAUGUACCUCUGCCUACCCCUGGAAAAGAUCGAGUUUUGUUCGCUAUCGACAAUGUUCUGCUUUCUGUGGAGACUCCACCAAAGGAUGGGCUCCCCCAUGUUGAUGUACAGCCUCUAACUUCUUCUUCCCUUCUCAGUUGUGUGCCUCUACAUUUUGCUGGUGUAAAUGUACUUCUUGCUGCUGUUGGAUAUUGACUUUGGUUGUCAUGUACUACAUUUCAUUCAUGCAGAUAUCGUUUCAGCCAUUGGUACAGUGUCUAGAUGUUGACAACUUGAUUAAAUUUUUCACAGCCGUGCUGCUUGAAAGAAGGAUUUUGAUCCGGUCACACAAGUACGAACCUGGAACAAGUUCUCAUCUUGCUUUCUCAGCUGUGUACUCCCACAUCCUUUAGUUAACUUUUUGUCCUACUUUUGGCAGAUAUUCCCUUUUGACCCUUGCAUCAGAAGCUAUUUGCUAUUUAAUUUAUCCAUUUCGGUGGCAGGUAAGCUUCAUUCUUAGUCAACGACUUUUUGUUUCCCUGGCAAAAUGCUGCUCAAGACAUAUGCUUAGUUAGUUUGUUUCUUGUAGCCGUAGGCUGGCUUAGUGGGGUUUCUAUUUGCUUUAACAGGUCUUUUGUGCUUGAUGGACUUCUUGUCCAAUUUGUUAUGUGAUCUUCCUUAUUUCUCUAAUAAUUGUCAUUUCUUCUCUAAACAACAUAGCUUCUCUAUUUUGAACUCUUACAAACAAAAAAUGCUUGUGUGUAUGUGUAUGUAUAUUUGAAUACCGAAAUUUCAAUUGUGUAGUAUUUAUUUUCUGAUACAUCUUGUAUUUGACUCUUGUCUAAUUUGUGCAUGUUUUUUUUUAUGUGGAAGCAAGUCUACAUUCCGUUACUCUUUUUCAGUGGAGUAGACUAUAUUGAUGCCCCCACACCGUAUAUGAUGGGUCUUCAUUCAGGUGUUGAUACAUCUACUCUAGCAAUGGAUGGUGUAAGUUCUUUUCAAGAAACUGCCUUAUCGUUUAUACAUAUUAGGGUUGAAAAAGAUAUUUGUAGUUUUUAUGCAUUCUAUAUUUCAGCUAUUUUAGUAAACAUAAAACAACUGUAUGCUCUUUUUAUUUUUUAUUUUUGAGAAGUUUAGAUCCUAAAACACUGUACGAAUUCUUUACAGAAGAACAGUUAUUUUCUUGGCUCUUUCCAAGAACUUCCUAUACUUUGAAGACAUUUUUAAUGACGUUGAUUUUGCUAUUUGGAUAUUUUAUGUAGAUCAAUGAUCUAGCUAGUGAUGAAUGUUGUUAUGCAACUGUGGAAAUGGAAAUUAUCUGUAAAAAUGAAAAGAUAAUGAAGUUUUUCUUUAUAUUAUAUAUAUGAAAUAUUUAUGCUAAUUACAAUAUGUUUUGUUGUCAUUCACCAUGGUUCUAGGUAGUUAUUGUGGACCUUGAGUUCAAUCGUAUCACAACAACAGAAGAUAUACCUUCUAUUCCUGAGCCAGAACUAAGCUGUUUACGUCAGGAUCUAACGCAGCUAUUGUAUCCCAAUGUUGUGGGGAUAGAUCUGAUGAAGGAUGGUCUUUUCAAUUCAUCCGAGCAAUAUCCUAAACUUGGCAACAAACCUUGGGGAGAGGAUCAUGAACUACAACUUAGGUAAGCUUGGGUGCCAAGUCAAUCUCUAUGAAGUCCUUAUCACUCCCCUUAAUUGUAUAAGUACUUCAGUAAAAUGAUUUGCUGGAUGAUGUCAUUUUCUCGUCCAUAUAAAUCGUCGCUGCCCUGUAAGGGCGCCACUUCUGUUGUCUAAUUGCAGUUCUGUUAUAAAAUGAUUACCUUUUUUUUUCUUGCUUAACUGACUACCUGACUACCUCCACAUAAUCAGAAGCACUGAAGGGUUGAAUCAGAGGUCUACAUAUUUGAGACAAUUAUUUAUAAUAUUAUCUUCAGAUUCUCAAAGCAAUCCAAGAAUACACUCUUUUGAUGUUAGUCUUUUCCACUUAUUUUGGAAUAUGAACUAGAAAUGCCUUUAAUUGAUUAACAUGCAGUAAAUUCUUGAUAGACUGAAAUGGGUAGAUUAUACAUCGUAUGCCACAUUAUAGUUUGGACUCUUAUUUUUGCAUUUGAUUUCUUGUGCAGAUUAGUGUUCUUAAAGUUCUUUGCAUCGCUUUUAAGUGGUUAUCGGAACUUCAUAGUAUGAAACUCUUUAUCUUAUUUCUGAUGUUAAUUGAAUCUGGUUUUUAAUAGUUGAUAUUUGUAGAUUCUUUGAAAUUUAUUUAGUUAAAUUAUUUCUGACCCAAAGGAACUUUCUGCUACUCACGUCUUCAACGUUCAAGCAUACUUGAAGAUGCGCUCUCGUUCAACUCAGCAACCCCCAGAACCCAUGGUAUAUACUUGUUCACAGCACCUAUCUUGAUCUUUGAUUAUUUUGAUUAAUUAUGGGUACAUAUAAUUGCUAUACUCAUUAUUCUAGUAAUUGUUGUUACCACUGUAGUUGUAAUUGUAUUUAAUGACUAUUCUUACUGUUGGUCAGAAUGAAAAUAGGGGUCUGCAUUUGUUGAUAAGUGUUGCUUUUCAAAAUUUAACAUAUGACCUUCUGCUGCUAGUGGUAUACUUAUUCUUUGUUGGUAUUUACAGCUGACACAAUUUCUGGAAUCACAUGGUUUCAUGGAUUAUCUGGAAAGAGGUUUGGGUUCUGAUGAAAACAACAAUAACCUACUUGACAAGUUACAAGAUGCACUGGGAAGGGGCCAAAAUCCUAUUUCAAUUCUUCCUUCAAAUUCAGUGGAGCCUGAGAUUAUAACAAUUGCAGAUACAGAUGUGGGAACAUCAGGUAAAUUUGUGAUGUUGCUGUUGAUUUAAAAUUGCAAGAGAUACAAAGAGAAGCAAAUAUUUCAGAUAGUUAGAGUUUGCUAUGGUGUUUAUUUUAUCUCCUUUCUCUGGAUUCUUAGGGACAGGUGGCACAUACACUUAUGACAGGUUUCCCUCAAACAUCAGGACAGAAGAGGAAGAAGAAAAAAGGAAGCAAACUCUUGCUGCAGCAAGUGGUUUAUCUGCUAGGUAUAAAUCGCAUGCUAUUGUAGAUGAAUACCACAGUUUGUUUAUUAUUGUUGUUUUCAGUCAAUCUGGAAAUUUUGCUUUAGAGCUGUAACAUAUGUGGGACUCUUUGAAAUGUCUGAAACUAUAGAGACAUAUUGUCCUUGGAUUCCGACAGUAAAUAAUUGACACAAACCUUUGGUACCACCAGUUCCUUCUGUAGAAUAAAGGCAAUCACAUCUCAUAGGACUAGUUUGCGGUAUAUGGUAAAUAAUGGUGGCUAUAUAUAUGUAAUAAAUCGUCUCUUGCAUUCAUUUGGGAGUACUGGAUUAAUUGGAUUUUGGACUCUAGUUACAUUCAUCUUGGCUUGGAAAGGAGCCAAAAGAGUUGGACAUCUGAAGUUGGAUAUGAUGAAUAAAAAUUGCUUUAUAGAGUUGCAGGCUUAUUAAAUUACAUCUUAUUGCUGUUUCUAAUUUUCCUUGGUUCUCUCAGCGCACCUUCUGUCCUUACUGGUAAAGACCCCAAAUCAGAUCCAUUGGAGCGGGCUGUAAGUCCUAUACUCCUACAUGAUAUCUAGUAGGUUACUUUAGAGCUUUCGUUAACUAGUGUAAUAUUGUUCAUUCAGGCUGAAAGGGAAUGUAUGGUUUUGGACAUCAAAGUUAAGCUGCAGGUACUUUUUUUUUGGGGUUAAAUAUACAUGUGUACAUUUUUGUUCAACUCUUGUUGCCCUGUUCUACAUUAUCUACUAUUGGUUUUACAGAUGGGAUGAAAAUAAUUGAUGUGCAUGGUUAUGACCUUAUACUAGGAGUUUAUUAUCAUUUCUCUUAAGAGAAAAAUUGACUAGAUAGUAAAAAAAAAAAAAAAAACUCAGUCAAUAAAUUGGCUUGCCAUNNNNNNNNNNNNNNNNNNNNGGGAGCACAUAAAUUCGGUAUGUUUCUCUUGAAAUAAUUCAUGGUUCUCUCCACCCUCCAGAAGUAUCCAUAAAACAUAAUAUUAAUAGUGGAUUUAUAUGCUCUCAGGGAUGGCACUGUCAGUUAACUGAAGAACAAUUUAUUGCUGUGAAGGAACUGGUACAAAUUCUAACUCAAUAUUCAAAUGAGUGAUCUUAUUUGAUUUAGGAUUACUAACAGUUUGAGAUUGCAACAGCCAUGGUUAUGUUUUAAACUGUUCUUCACUGAUUCAUCAAUUCCUUUUACUAGUGUUGAUACUAUUUAGUUCAGGAAAAAACAUGUAUUGUUCCCAUUUUAAGCUUAGUAACAGUUUUAAGUAUAAACUGUAUUUUCUGUUAGUCUGUCAUUUCUUAUCUCGACACUAACUUUAUUUAAAUUCAGCUGAAAACAGCUAUCAGCCGUGCAACCUCCAGAAAUGAUUGGAUGACCAUCAGAGACGCCCUUGAAGUGUCUGCUGAAAUGUUCAAGAAGGAUGGAAAUAAUGUUUCAGAUUAUGUUCAGCGUCAUCUUAUUUCUUUGUCCAUCUGGGAGGAAUUACGGUAUGUAGUUAUGCCCCCAGUUUUCUUCCAACAACUGAUCGUUGGUCUAUAAGUUUUGCUUGUCUGUUUUGAAAACUAGUUGAUUAUUUCUUGUUAGACCAUCACAUUAUCAAUUUUAAUACCUAGGCCAGUCUUCAAAUUUAAAAAGAAAGGUCUAUUACAUGUGUCAGUCAGAUGCAGAACAUGGAAGAAUUUUUUAGAGUUUCAGUCUCCUUUGGUGUUCAGCGCUGCAGAACUAUCAUAUAAUACCAUCAGGUUUAAUUAAGUAAACCGAAUAGCUUUGUUGGAAUUCAUCAUCACUGCAGAGAUAUACGGGAAUUGUAAUUAGCGAGAGGAAGGAAUGAAAGUUAGAUUAUUGAUAAACAACGUAUUAGCAGCAGAUGAAACCUAAACUUCUUAAAGAUUUGCCAUCUCAUCCUAUUUAAAUUUCCCUGCAGUUUAUUUGUCUUAUUAGUUAAUUACGAAGUGGACUGACCGUUCGCUUUUCAUGUUCAACAACUCUAUCUAAUGUUUUAUCAGGUCCCCUCCCCCUCCUAAUGACAAAAAAUGAUCAUUUAUUUAUUUUUAUCAUUGCAGCUUUUGGGAAAGCUACUUUGACUGUUUAAUGGAGCGUUCUGCAAACAAGUAAGAGUUUUUUAAGACGUGUUCUGCACUUAUGAUCUAUCUGAUUGCAAGAGUGCACACUUGUGUGCUCUGUCUGUAAGUUUAAACAUGUCAUUAAUUGGAUGGGUUUUUGGGUGCACAAAAUGCAAAUUAUAGUAAUUAGAUGUUCAUAGCCUUAUAGGUGGUAUUGCCCCACUGGGUGGUUUGUCAUGUUUGAUUUGUUGAAUGAAUUUAUUCGACCAUUUAAUUGGAGUCGACGCAGUACAAUUUGGUCCGAAUAUCUUUCAGUUCCUACUCCCAUCCACUUCCUUCUCUUUUUUCUCUUUUUUUUUUUUUUUAAUUCUUUUUUUUUGUUACGGAAACUAAGACUUACCAGGAUAUGAGUGCAAAAUUCAUUAGGUCAUGAAAAUACCAUUUAUUUUGAACACCAAGAAUCCAAUUAGUAAGGUCUGACAGUAAAAUGUACCAUGACACAUGAGCAUACCUUUUGAAUAUAUCUUUAUCCUUUGUUUUCACUUAGAUCACUUCUGUACCACAAUAUUAUUUACUCUUCCUUUUUAGUGCUCAAGAAACAAGAAACUUCUAUAGCACCAAGAAAUGUUAUCUUUUUCUCUCUUUUUUUUGAAUAAGUAACAUGUUGUCUUUUGCAAAGUAGUAUUUGCUUACUGUGAUCAUCUAUUGUUACUUGUUACAUCAGGUCGGCCAACUAUGCCUCUUUGGUGACUGAUCAGCUAUCUUUGGUGGAAUUACACAUGGUUCUGUAUUUCUUUAUUUAUACUUUUUCUAGCACCUCAUAAUUAUUUCCUUUACCUUUUGCAAUAUGAGCAUAAAUGUGACAUAAUAUAUUCUUUUGGUUUAUAUCAUCAUGAAGGCCGGACUGGGACUUCCUGAUCUUGAUGCAUGGUACAUGAUUGAAACAAUAGCUGAGAAGAACAAUAUUGGAUACACACAAUUUGUAAGUAAAUUUUUAGUUCCUGUUGGUUUCUACUCAAGUUACAAUAGUAUCUUUGUGUUUUAUUUUAUUUUAUUGCCCCUCCCUCUUCUUUAACUUUUCCACUUUAAUUUAUAUGCUGAAAUUUCUUGGGUUUACUAAUGCAUAGCUGAUGAUGUUCCUUACCUUUUUCUCUGGUUUUCAGAUAAAGCUGAGGGGGUUGUUGUCACAUGUUCAACAACUGCGGAUUGGUUACUGGGGAAUCAGUUCUUUCAAGGCCCAAUCCAUGUCUCAUGGAUUAGCAUCUCCACGUUCAAAAGACGCCACAGUUGAGAGUCAGCAACCUGCCGAGGCCUCUGGUGUUGGGAGGAGCUGGGUUCAGAGCAUGUUCAGCAGGGAUAAUUCAGCCAGACUCAACUCUUUCAGUCGUGUUCGCAAAUGGACUGAUGGUGGCUCUUCAGGUAUUUUAGUUACUAAAGUUAGUUGCUUGUGUUUUAUGUUUGAUUCAAUUAUCUCCAUCUGGAUCACCAUAAUUUCUUGUCAUUAAGCUACAAAUGAAAAUGGGACAUCCCGGAAGCGAGAAGUAUCAGCAGCUGGACAGAAGAAAACCCAAACCAAUGUUCGAGUACUCCGAGGUCAUACUGGCCCAAUUACUGCUCUACAUUGUGUAACAAGGAGGGAAGUUUGGGAUCUUGUGGGUGACCGUGAAGACGCAGGUUUGUUCAUCAGUGGGAGCACAGACUGCACGGUGGGCUUCGCAUCUUUAGUUGCUUCUAUUAGACAAUUCCAUUGCACAAGAGUCUCUCCUGUAAGAGUAUUAUUAAUUCUUUCAGCAAUCUUUCAGGUUAAGAUCUGGGAUCCUAGUUUUCGUGGUAACGAACGUCGGGCAACUUUGAAAGGACACACAAGGUUACUCUUUUUAUUAUUUUAUUGUUAUUUCUAUCAUUAUUGUCUUCUUUAAUUUAUACACUAUUGUUAUUAAUUUGGUUAUUUCAUCUGUUCCCACACACGUGUGCAUUUGUCAAUGCCAGUGGGUGCCAUUCGGCUUUACUAUUUGCUGUAAUGACUAAUCAAAGUUAUAGGUUUGUUUCCUUCCUCACAUAUUCUUUUGGUUUUGGCCUUAUUGCAGAACCAUUCGUGCAAUAAGUUCGGAUCGAGGAAAAGUGGUAUCUGGAUCAGAUGAUCAAUCUGUUUUAGUAUGGGAUAAGCAAACUACUCAGCUUCUGGAAGAGUUAAAAGGCCAUGAUGCACAGGUGAGCUUACUUAUUUGCGUCUUACAUUACUAGAGGUCUAUGCAUAGCGGACAGUAUAAUUGACAGUAGGCAACAUUUUUCGUAGGAAUACAUGACCAUUAUUUCCAUCAGCAUGAAUAUGUCAUACUAGUAAUACAUGGAAACUUAGUAUAUGUUGUCGGUCCUUGUAGAUUAGCUGUGCUCGCAUGCUGUCAGGGGAACGUGUUCUUACUGCUGCUCACGAUGGAACUGUUAAAAUGUGGGAUGUUAGAACUGAUACUUGUGUGGCAACUGUUGGUCGUUGCUCUAGUGCCGUCCUAUGCAUGGAAUACGAUGACUCCACAGGAAUCCUAGCUGCUGGUGGUAGAGAUGCGUAUGUACAUUGAAACUGACAAUGAUCCAAUGCCUUUUUAAAUUUUGAAAUAAAAUAAUUUGUCUAACUAAAUUCUUUGAAAUUAAUCCAUUGGGUUUUUUUAUCAGCAUUGCUAACAUCUGGGACAUUCGCGCCGGUAGGCAAAUGCACAAGCUUCUAGGGCACACAAAAUGGAUCCGGUGAGCUAAAGAAGCAUACUCUUUUUUUAUUUUCUUUUAUUUUUUUUCCUUUUCCUUUUUAUUCUUGAUUAGCAUCAAGUAAGCGAGAUAUUAUUUCCAAUAAUGCAGGUCGAUUAGAAUGGUGGGGGAUACAGUGGUUACUGGUAGUGAUGAUUGGACUGCAAGAAUGUGGUCCAUUUCCAGAGGAACAUGUGAUGCUGUUCUUGCAUGCCAUGCUGGUCCAAUAUUAUCCGUUGAGUACUCCCAACUUGACAGAGGAAUAAUCACAGGUAUGUAUUGUAUGCAACACUUCUAUUAUAUACACUACUCUGGUUUGCAUGAUAUAUCAUUAAUUUUUUUAGGUUGCUUUUUGGUACCUCACUUUUCACACUUGUACCAAUAUGAAUAAGAACUGUAAUAUCUGAUCUCUGGUUCCAGGUUCAACGGAUGGCUUACUUCGCUUUUGGGAAAAUGUAGAAGGUACAUUAUCAAUCUUUUGAACCUUGCAUUCUCUCAUUCUUUGAUAUGAAUAUUACAUGGGUUUAGUCUAGAUAUUUCUUUUCUCCCACAUAAAAAAAAAAAAAUACAGAUAUUUACUUUUUCAAUAACCGGAAGCAGAGGGAUAAGUAAUAUUCACGUCAAUAUGUAAAUAAGUUAGCGAAACUAAUAAGUCCAGUCUAUCACUCUAUCCUGGUAAUCGACUUUUCAUCUAGAGACCCCUAAAUGGUGUUUUUGACUUGCCACUAGUGUAAGGUGAUAUCAUGUACUUGUUAAAAAAUUUAAAUGUUUAUCAAUGAAUUUGAGUAGUACUCGGUAUUAUUUUAUGCUUGUAUAUGGAUGUUGACUGUUGAACAAGUCAAUUGAUAUUUAUGCAUGUUCAGAAAGCUAUUGCUAUGUUUUGGGAUGAUUGCACCGAAACUGAACAUUAUGCUAGAUUCGGUUUAUUUUUCUGCAUGGAACUAACUGUUAUUUAUAUGCAGGAGGCAUAAGAUGUGUAAAAAAUGUCACUGUUCAUACUGCUGCUGUAUUGUCCAUCAAUGCUGCGGAACAUUGGUUAGGAAUUGGAGCAGCUGAUAAUUCCAUGUCUCUUUUUCAUCGGCCUCAAGAGAAACUUGGCGGCUUUUCUAAUACGGGAUCAAAAAUGGCUGGGUGGCAACUAUACCGAACACCACAAAGAACAGCUGCUGUGGUACGCAAUAUCCUCAGCGUUUUGCUUUCCACUGCAUUGGGUCGACAUCAAUCUUAGAAGCAUAUAUUCCUUUUGAUUUCUUUCCGAUCAUAAUAGUUGGUUGUUUUACCAUUAUGCAUUUGUGAUGAAUGUUGAGGCAGAUAGUUUAUUGAUUGGUGGUUGAUGAUUAGUUUCUUCCUACCUUUUGCUAUGCAGGUAAGAUGCGUUGCUACAGACCUCGAGAGAAAAAGGAUAUGCAGUGGUGACCGCAAGGGCCAGCUUAGGCUGUGGGAAGCCACUAUAAACAUCUGAGUCUUGCAUUUGUGUAUUUUAUUCGAAUACGAAUUGAGAAUGUCAUAGCCUCAUAGGUACUUCUGAAAACAAAGAAGUGAAAGAACAAUAUGUGAAAUAUAUCAAAGUUGUAUGUUUGUAAUUACUUACGGUAUUUCCAAAAAAAGGGAACAGGGGCUGUUGUUGCCGCCUUUAAUGUAGUAUAUGAAUGGUAUACAGUAUUCUCGCGCAGUUAAUAGUGUAUUUUCAUGUCAGUAUGAUGUCUUUCAUUACCGUAAUUCCUUUUAUUUUCUCGGAUUUUUUUUUUGUGUUUAGGUUUGAAGCCGGAAGCAGCUCAUAUAAUUGAAAGUAGAACAGGAGGUAAAUGAAAUUAAACCAGAACAAAACAUCUUUGUAUUCACAUCCAUCGUAAAAAUGAAUUGACACUAUCCCACUUCACUACCACUCCUAAUUAGGAUUCAAGUGCAUGUGUUACCAAAAAAACGCAUACCAUAACACAAAGCAUAUCAAUCAUCAUAUACCAACAAGACCAUGUAUAAUGUUGAUAAUGCUGAUACGAGAAGAGACCUAUCACAAAAUUUGCCUUCCUCAGUUGCCCGUCAUUCUCUGAGGCAUUGGAGGUGUGACCACUGUACCUUGCCUCUUUUUCUGCAGCCUCUGAAGUUGCUCCAUGUUUCCUACCCAUCCUAAAGAAGGGUCGAGGCCUCUGAGCUCAAGCUCCCUGUGUUCUUGGCACAGAGCACACAGCUCGCAUAAGACGUGGAUGAUGCAGUCGGGACCGGGGCUUUCCGGCAGGUCAAGCUUGUUCCUUAGUUUUCUCCGGUAUGUGCAGGACAACAAGCAUGGCACCAUGAUGAAGAACCAGAUGAUCAUGUAUAGUAAAGCAUUACAACUACAAGCUGCAUGCAUGGCACAAUAGAUGAAAGUGAGCCAUGAACUAGAUCAAACUGAUCGAAAUAUUACUCAUUGUAAUUGCACUAGUACGUUAAGAAAUCAAGAUAAUUUCAAAUGCAAAACACUUACAGGUUUGGCCGUUAUCUACAAUCUCUGCAAUCUGGCCAAACGUCCAACACGGGCAUAUCAUUGUCAUGAUAGCUGAAAUAUACAAUGAAACAUUCAUGAAUUAUAUUCCUGCGCAUAUAGAAGAAAAAAAAAAAAAAAACACCCUAGCUAAUGAAGUAAUCCAUUAAUUGAUAGAAAUAUUACCAUUGGGGGGUCAAGAAAGCAAUCGCAUAGCCCAGUUUUCCAAGUAGUACCCUCGCCGCUGCUACCUGACUGUGGCAUGAGCACCGGUACGUAUUGUAUAUUUUGCAUCAUGGGUAUACCAGUUGCUGCAGAAUUAUUGUAAUUUACAUAGGGCUGGGGAUUUAAAGAAUUAGAACGAUAAUUGUAGGCAGCUGGAGGAGGGUACAUUACUACUUGCUGUGAUCCACUAUAAAAAUUGUGCAAAGGUUGAGGAGGAGGCCUAUAGUUGUUUAAAGGUUGAGACUGAUAAAGAGAAGGAGGAGGAGGAGAAGGAGGAGGAUAUAAGGAGGUCGGAUGUGGCCGUAAACCUGGAGGCAUUGCCUGGAAAGGGUGUGGAGGCUGGGGGUUAUUCGGCGUUGGGAAAUAGUAGUGCACGUUGUGAUCAUAAGGCAACGGCGGUGCUUGUUGAUGCGUUUGAAUUGCUUGACUUUCUUGGGAAUUAGUGGAGGACGUUCGGGUGUGGCCUUGUUCUUGAUGCUCAUGAUCAUUUUCUGCCCUGAAAACAUAGGUCUGGAUAUUACUGGGGUUUGGAGACGAAACUUGUUGUUCAGGCUUCUCGGAAUCUUGUAAUUCGCAAUGUGUUGGAUGACAUGCCUGGUUGGAACUCGACGGUUGAUGAUCUUGAUCCGCCUCAGGACGUCCCAUGAGGUCAACACAGUACCUCAGGACGUCCUAUGCUGUGGAAGGAAGAGGGGGUUACAGCAUCAAUAGACCCAAUGGCCAACAAACCCCCACACCUCUUUUAUAUACGAAAGAGAGAUCACGGACAGCCUUUCACUUUGUACAACGUAAAUCUAACCCACAAUCACAACUUUGUGCGGUAAGAGCUAGUGCAAAUUAAUAAGACCCCAACGAAGACUUUAAUAAUUCGUUAUUAGGAAAAUAGAUUAGCAAUGUCCAACCUGUUUCCCAAAGAGAAAUACUAAUGUCCAGCCUCGCAAUUUGAAUCGUUCAAUUAACUUAUCUAUUAAGACUUUUGUAGACAAAUUAUACAUUACCAAAACAAUAGCUUCAUAAUAUUCAUGUAAAUGAAAAAAAGGCAAACCGUUCAGAAUAUUACAAGCUGGAUGAACCUUAUUAGUUAUUAGUAACUGAAAACAUCGAUCACUUGAAAAAGAAAAAGGUAAAAGAUAUAUCUUGGCCUUAAAUCAAAUUCUCAACGGGAGUAUCAACCGCGAUUGAUCGAUCACCUCAUCAUUUGGUUCAUUGGAGGCGUCAUCAUAUUAGGUUGUUGCUGCUGCAUGGCCCUUGCCACAUUUCCUUGCCAUCCUAUAGAAGGGUCUAGCCCUCUCAUAUUAAGUUCUCUGUACUCUUGGCAAAGAGAACAUGGCUCACAAAACAAAUGGGUGGCCCAGUCAGGUGCAGGGGUCUCAACUAGCCCAUACUUGCUCCGAAUCUUCGUCCUGUAGGCGCAUGACAUUAUGAACGGCACCCAAAGGAAGACACCAACCAAGCCGUAGAGCAAUGCACUCGUACCACAUGCUGCAAUACGUCACACAAUUAGUGAAUCAAUUCAGACAAGAAUCAAUGACUUAGUCUAUAUAUCGCACUUGAAAAUUGUGUGAAAUUAAUGAUACAGAAAGAACCUAAUGUUGUAAGUAAAAGAAGCAUUCGUGACCAAAUUUGAUGCAUUUUCACUUACAGGUAGUUCCAGAGCCGGCCCUGGGGUGGUGCGAGCUAUGCGGCCGCACAGGGCCCCCGGCCGGCAAGGGGUCCCCUUUUUUUUUUUUCGUUUUGGUUGGUAAGGUGUAGUAUAUAUUAUAAUUAGUAGCCAUAUACAUGAACUGUAAGUAGUUGAGUUGGUGAGGGCCCUUCUUAUUUCCUUUUGCAAAUAGGUCAUAGGUUUGAUUCAGUGCUAUUUCAAGGGUGUUUUUUUUUUUUUUUCAACACAAAGGGCCCAAUUUUUUUUUUUGGCACAGGGCCCCUCUAAACAUUGGGUCGGCCCUAGGUAGUUCCAUUAUCCACAACUUCUGCUAUCUGGCCGAAAGUUAAGCAUGGUACGAACAACGUUAUGAGAGUUGAAAUGUCACGAGAGUUUCUAUCAAUGAUCGUGAGUAAAUAGUGAUUAGAUAAAUAAUGGACAGAGUUAGAAGAAUAAGAUGUGAUUACCAUUAUUAGGAUCAUCCAUGCAGUCAAAGAGGCCAGUUUUCCAAGCCUCAGUGCCAAUGGGGUUCAUCAUAUUCAUAGUCAUAGGCGUUCCCUGCGGACCGUAAGGGCCUUAGGUUGGAACUCCUUGAGCCGGAGCAGGAGCAGUCCCAUAAUAAUUCUGCUGUUGUUGCUGCUGCUGGUAGUACUGUUGGGGUGGCUGAGGCUUAUUAUAGCCAACUUGCACCGGAGGUGGCGCCUGAUUCUGCUUUGAAGGUUGGGGAAUGCCGUUGUAGCCUUGAGGAGGCUGAGAUGAAGCUGCUGCAGGAGGAGGAUAUUGCGCCGGAGGAGGUGGGUGUCCAAAAGGGUGGUUAUGUUGGUUUGGCGCGCCAUUCUGUGGUGGAUAUUGUUGAGAUGGCGGUUGAGCUUGAAACUGAGGACUUUGUGGUGGGAACUGUUGUGGAGGAGGAGGCUGGUUUGCGUAGUUUUGGUUUUGUGGGAUCUGAGGAGGAAAUGGCGCAGGCCGAGGCGGCUGUGGAGCCAAGUAUUGGAUCGGUCGCGGUGGUUCUUGUGGUGGGAAUUGUACAGGUGACUGAUAAGAUGGCGGUUGUCGCGGCGGCUGCUGCUGCUGGAAGAACUGUGGUUGCUGUUGGCCUCCUUGUGGUGAUGGUUGUGGCUGAUAUUGCUGUGGCUGCUGCUGCUGCUGGAAGAACUGUGGUUGUUGUUGGUCUCCUUGUGGUGGUGGUUGUGGCUGAUAUUGCGUUAGCUACUGCUGCUGUUGGUUUUAGUCGUAGUUUCCAGUAACGUCAAUAACAUCUGCGGCUUGUACCUCCACAUGAGCUUCAGGUUGAUCACCGUGGUAGUGGUCUUCGUAAUCCGGAGUAUGAUGAUCCUCCUCCAUAUUAGUACAGUACUCUUAGUUCAGACUUGUGUGAGAGAGAGAGAGAGAGAGAGAGAGAGAGAGAGAGAGAGAGAGAGNNNNNNNNNNNNNNNNNNNNGAGAGAGAGAGAGAAGAGGAAGAAGGAGCUAGCUGCUUUGGGAUGAAAUGACUAAUGCAUGCCAUACAAUUUAUAUAGUACUGAACUAUACUAGGGCUAUGUGUAGAAACUGAACAGCAACAACAAUAUCACACCAGCAAUACAAACACCAGAUGGAAUAACACUACAGCAAAUCAAUCACACACACACAGAUGAGAAGAGUUUUUCUGGAGCAUGAAUUGUUCUUCUGUUCAUUCAAACAAAACUUAGUACAUCAGCAGCUAUAUAUAUAUACAACAACAAAAGGUCUAGAGCAACCAAGUUGCACAAGUUGCUCCAAUUUAAAAAUACACAAAAACUAGAAGUCUCCAUAAGUGGAAGACUCCAGACAAAACUAAAUCACUUAACAAAGUUACUGCUAUGUAGGAGUUAAAAAUAUUUACCUAAGGCUUGGUUUAUUAUCCUACAUUGCCUCCCUUAAACCAAGCCAAGAUCUUCAAACUUUAUCAUCCCCAUCAGCUCCUUCAGCUUUAAGAAAGCUGCAGCAUUAAGAGGCUUUGUAAAUAUAUCAGCUACUUGUUCUCCAGAAGGACAGUAGUGGACUGCAAUUUCUUUGUUCUUCACCAAAUCUCGAAUAUAAUGAUUCUUGGCAUGGAUAUGCUUUGUCCUCUCAUGGAAAACUGGAUUCUUGGACAAAGAAAUGGCUGAGUUGUUGUCACAGAAGAUUGGUGUAGGUCUCUUCUGUUCUUGAUGCAAGUUUUGAAGAAUUCGUCGCAGCCAAAUUGCAUGAGUAGCACACCUAUUUGCUGCAACAUACUCUGUUUCAGCUGAUGAAAGAGCUACCACUUGUUGCUUCUUGGAUGACCAACAUAUUACCCCAGAACCAAUAUCAAAAACAUAACCUGAGGUGCUCUUUGCCUUCUCUUCUCUUGCCCAGUCACUAUCUGUAUAGCCAACAAGUUCAUUCACACAGUUAGUUGCAUAGAAAAUUCCAUCACUUUGAGUUCCUUUGACAUAUCUCAAUAUUCUCUUUGCUGCCUGCAAAUGUGACUGACGAGGAGCUUCCAUAAAUCUGCUAAUCAAUCCAACUCCAAAUGUGAUGUCAGGCCUAGUAGCCGUCAAGUAAUGCAAACUCCCAACAAGCUGCUUAUACCAUGUGGGAUUAACAAACUCUCCACUUCCAUCUUUCUUCAACUUCAAUCUCUGCUCAACCGGAGUCAUGAUUGAAUUGCAAGACUCCAUUUUAAAACGCUUGAGAAUGUCUCCAGCAUACUUCCUCUGAGAAAUAAAAAUCCCUUUCUCAGUUUGCACCACUUCAAUACCAAGAAAGUACGACAUCAACCUCAUAUCCGUCAUCUCAAAAUGAGAUGCCAAAGCCUCCCUGACUUCUCCAACUAGCUUUGAAUUAUUACCAGUGAUAAUAAGGUCGUCCACAUACAAGCACACAAUAAUAACAUCUCCCUCCAUAUUAGUCUUAACAUAUAAUGUAUGCUCAUAUGGACACCUUUCAAACUCAUUCUCCACAAAAUAGGAAUCAAUUCGGGUGUACCAAGCUCUAGGAGCUUGUUUAAGACCAUAUAAAGCCUUUUUCAGCUUAUAUACUUUCUCCGAUUGACCUUCCUUCACAUAUCCAAGUGGCUGCUCAAUAUAGACUUCCUCCUCAAGAGUUCCAUUCAAGAAAGCGGAUUUAACAUCCAUUUGAAAUAUUUUCCAACAAUUAUGAGCAGCAAGAGAAAUCACUAUUCUCACAGUAUCAAGCCUAGCAACAGGAGCAAAAACUUCAAGAUAAUCAAUACCUGGUUUUUGCUUGUAGCCUUUGGCUACCAAUCUUGCUUUGUAACGAUCCACGUCUCCAUUAGGCUUGUACUUAGUCUUAUACACCCAUUUGACUCCAAUAGCUGUCUUUCCUUCCGGAAGUGGAGUGAGCUCCCAUGUGUCAUUCUUUUCAAUAGCAAGAAGUUCAUCAUCCAUCACCUUGACCCAAUGUUGUUGUUGACAAGCCUCAUCAUAGGUAAGAGGAUCACAAUCUGCAUACGAGGCAAAAUUGACAAUAUCUUCAUCUGAUAUGCUUCUCCUCUUGGUCUUCAUCUCAUAAUCUUUCAAGUAUGGUGGCAAACGACGAUCACGUUGAGGCCUUGCUGUUGCAACUUCUAGCGGAGGCUCAGCUUCUGGAACUUCACCUGCUGCUGCUGGAGACUCAGGUUCUAGAACUUCUACUGCUGGAGACUCUUCUGGAACACCAACCAACUGACCUUCUUCAAUUGAUUCAUCCUCCAAUCGAAUGAAUGUUGUUGGUUCUUUUUCUUUUGAACUCCAAUUCCACGCACUUUGCUCAUCAAAAGUGACAUCUCGGCUAAUUAUCACCUUCUUCGUCACCGGAUUGAAAAGCUUGUACCCCUUUGUCACCGUGCUAUAGCCAAUAAAAAUGCACUUUUCAGCUUUAUCAUCAAGCUUCUUCCUUAUUUGAGCUGGAACAUGAGCAAAUGCGAUGCAACCAAAUACCCUCAAAUGAUGAAUGUUGGGCUUCUUACCACUCCACACUUCAUACGGAGUAAUUCCACCAGUGAUUCUACUAGGAGACCUGUUCAGGAUAUAAACUGCGCAACUAACAGCUUCUGUCCAAAAAUACUUAGGCAAAUUUUUCAAUUUCAGCAUGCAUCUCACCAUAUCCAUAAUGGUUCUAUUUUUCCUCUCCGCUACGCCGUUUUGCUGAGGCGUAUACCUUGCUGUGAGCUGAUGUUUAAUACCAUUUUUCCUCAAGAAGUCAUCACAAACUACAUAUUUUGUGCCUCGAUAAGUUCUCAACACCUUUAUCUUUUCUCCACUCUGCUUUUCAACAUAAGCUUUGAAGGCCUUAAACGUAUCACAUGCCUCAGACUUGUUCUUCAAAACAUACACCCAUGCUUUCCUGCUAAAAUCAUCGAUAAAAGUGACGAAGUAUUUGGCACCUCCAUAUGAGGGAACCUCAACAGAACACAAAUCUGAGUGGAUAAUCUCAAGGGGCAUAUUUGCUCUCAAGGCCUUUCCUAUCGGAAAGCUAUCUCUAUGCUUCUUUCCAAGAACACAAAUCUCACAAACUUGGUUUGGAACAUGAAUAGGGGGCAAUCCAGAUACUAAACUUUUUCUUGCAAGGAAAUUCAAGCUACUAAAAUUUAAAUGCCCAUAUCGCAUAUGCCACAACCAAUUAUCACCAUUUGCAACAGAACUAAAGCAAGGUAACUUAUCAUACUGCAUAAGUAAUGGAAACAAGCGAUUAGGAGUCAUAGUUACCUCUGCUAUUAGUUUCCGUUGAGGAUCUUUGAUGGUGAAAACUCCUCUGUAGAUGCGCAUAUCAUACCCCCUCUCUGAUAAUUGACCCACACUAAGCAAGUUGUGAUUAAGGCCAGACACAUAAUAUACAUCUGAUAUGGUGUUGUACAUCCCAUUCUUCAACUGUAUAAAGAUCUUGCCUUUUCCUUUAACUGGCAUCCUUGCAGCAUUCCCAAAUGUAAUCUCAGCUCGUAUUGACUCAUUCAGCUCAACAAACAACUCCUUAUGCCCGGAUAUAUGAGUGCUGCAACCUGUGUCCAAGUACCAUGUAAUUUGUUCUCCAUUACUCAUUGCACUAAAAGCCAUCAACAAAGUCUCCUCAUUGAUAUCAUUGUCUUCUGCAAACUUGGCAUGAAACUGCUUGUUCUCCGGCCUUCUCAAGUUGCACUCAUUCUUGUAAUGACCAUAACCAUGACAAUUAAAGCACUGGACAUUCGAUCUAUCUCGUCCUUGACACCAAUGGAAGCCCCUUCCUCUUCCUCUUCUUGCUCCAAAUCUGCCCUGUGAACCUCUCUUGUAACUUGAACUUUGAUUCCUUUGAGUUGAGCUUGACUCACCACGUGGCGACCAAUUUCUUUCCUUCUUGAAGCUUAAUUGAGUCUGCAAUGCUUCUUCAAUCACCAUCUCUGACUUCUCAUUCAGCCUUUGUUCAUAGGCCUGCAAGGAACUCAUUAAAUCAUCCACCGUCAUAGCAUUGAGAUCUUGUGACUCCUCAAUGGCUGUGACUUUUCCUUCAAACCGCUCCGUCAAGGUUCGAAGAAUCUUUUCCACAAUCUGCAGCUCUUUGAUAUCCUCCCCAUUGGCUUUCAUUUGAUUGACAAUAGCCAAUGUUCUUGCAAAGUAUUCAGAGAUGCUUUCCUUCUUCUCCAUCUGAAGAAGCUCAAACUGUCGCCGUAGAGUUUGCAAUCUCACCUUCUUCACUUUAUCUCGCCCAACAUAAGUAUUGAUCAAACAAUCCCAUGCCUCCUUCGAUGUUGUAACAUGUGCAAUCUUCUCAUAAACUUCAGAAUCAAUUGCUCCAAAUAUAUACAUCAGGGCUCUGCAAUCUUUCUUCCUAUUUCGAACCAAUUCUUCUCUUUGAUCUUGUGUGAGAUUUGCUUGGUCUCCUGGAUCUGUAAAUCCAUUGAUCACCAUCUUUGUGUACUCCAUGAUUUUGAAGAAGAGUUCCAUCUGCGAUCUCCAAUGCUGGAAGUUUCCUUUCCCAUCAAAUUUCCCAACUGGACAUUGAGGAAAAUCAUUCCCCCGAUUUGCCAUCAAUCUCUACACUUCUCCAAUUUGAGCGUACCUGCUCUGAUACCAGAUGUAGAAACUGAACAGCAACAACAAUAUCACACCAGCAAUACAAACACUAGAUGGAAUAACACUACAGCAAAUCAAUCACACACACACACACACACAGAUGAGAAGAGUUUUUCUGGAGCAUGAAUUGUUCUUCUGUUCAUUCAAACAAUUUUAGUACAUCAGCAGCUAUAUAUAUAUAUAUACAACAACGAAAGGUCUAGAGCAACCAAGUUGCACAAGUUGCUCCAAUUUAAAAAUACAAAAAAACUAGAAGUCUCCAUAAGUGGAAGACUCCAGACAAAACUAAAUCACUUAACAAAGUUACUGUUAUGUAGGAGUUAAAAAUAUUUACCUAAGGCUUGGUUUAUUAUCUUACACUAUGUGAUCCAGCAAGCAAGCGAUUUCUUGUUUUCUUUUUGGGGAUUGUAGCUAGUCAAAAUCAAAUUAUUAGAAGGUGGUGUGUACUGUGUGGUAGUGGGGGUGUCGGGACCGCUCUGUUCUGCGAUACGCGUUUUGUUUGACGAUGAGCAGUGAAAUUGAAACUGCAAUUAGACCCGUUAGAUUAAUUCAAUGGCCGCAACUGAGCAAAGCCCGGGCAGUGGUGGUGGUGGAAUAUAUUGCAGAUGCAAAAGUGGUUUACUUUGGAUUCUUAAUUUCCACGUACCUACCGAGCUUCAUUGAGUGAUAUCUUGCUUGCUGCAGAGAGUAGUCGACUUCUCUAUAGCUUAUUUAGCACGGCCGCGCCGGAACUUGACCUAGUUUAAAUCAUAACUUUGUAUUAUUAUUGGUUUCAGAUAAAUCAUUAGUCCCACACCAACCCCAACCCCAAUGUGGUUUAUAUAUGUAGUCGACUAGCUAAUUCCAAACUCGACUGACUUCGUACAUUUCUAUCAAUGAAAUUUCAGGUAUUGGAGUAUUGGUAAUAGGGGAUGUUUUAGAAUUAUAGUUCAUGGAAGAAAGUAGUGAUAUAUGAGAACGUGAUGCACCGUUCAUACUCAUUUUCGGCCAUUGCUGCCUUCAAUAUUGCCCACUUGUAUCUUAAUAAAAAGACCUCUACAGAUCGUCGAUAUAUCUUCGACAUUUCAUUUCUGAGGCUAGCUAGCUUGUUAACCAUGGUUAAGGAUUCUGAUCUUUUAAAUACAGGGGGAAGUGAGAAAAUUAAGCAAAACUUGUACCCCGGUCUCUGCUAACUUUUGUAGACAAAUUAUACAUUACCAAAACAAUAGCUUCAUAAUAUUCAGAAUAAUACAAGGAUGAACCACGACAAUUUCAUACAUGGCAUCAGCUUAUUAGUACGUAUUAGUAAAUGAAAACAUCGAUCACAUGAAAAAAAAGAAAAAGAUAUAUCUUGGCCUUAAUUGAGGCAUAAACAUUUGCUGAAAUUAACGGCAGUAUCAACCGCGAUUGAUCGAUCACCUCAUCAUUUGGUUCAUUGGAGGCGUCAUCAUAUUAGGUUGUUGCUGCUGCAUGGCCCUUGCCACAUUUCCUUGCCAUCCUAUAGAAGGGUCUAGCCCUCUCAUAUUAAGUUCUCUGUACUCUUGGCAAAGAGAACAUGGCUCACAAAACAAAUGGGUAACCCAGUCAGGUGCAGGGGUCUCAACUAGCCCAUACUUGCUCCGAAUCUUCGUCCGGUAGGUGCAUGACAUUAUGAACGGCACCCCGAUGAAGGCUCCAACCAAGCCGUAUAGCAAUGCACUCGUACCACAUGCUGCAACACGUCACACAAUUAGUGAAUCAAUUCAGACAAGAAUCAAUGAAUUAGUCUAUAUAUAUACAGAUUCUAUCCAGAUCGAAGUUUCGUGUUAAAAUUAAUGUUGCAAGUAAAAGAAGCAUUCGUGACCAUAUUUGAUGGAUUUUCACUUACAGGUAGUGCCGUUAUCCACAACUUCUGCUAUCUGGCCGAAUGUCAAGCAUGGUACGAAUAACGUUAUGAGAGCUGAAAUGUCACAACACAUUUGAACUCGUAAGCCUCAUUUACAUAUAUUUUGUGCAUGCGUGAUAAAAAAAUCUCAAUGAUCGUGAGAGGAAGUAGUGAUUAGAUAACUUAAGGACAGAUUAGAUAACUUAUAUAAGAUGUGAUUACCAUUAUUAGGAUCAUCCAUGCAGUCAAAGAGCCCAGUUUUCCAACCUUCAGUGCCAAUCGGGUUCAUCAUAUUCAUAGUCAUAGGUGUUCCCUGCGGACCGUAAGGGCCCUGCAUUGGAACUCCUUGAGCCGGAGCAGGAGGAGCCGCAUAAUGAUUCUGCUGUGGUUGGUAUUGUUGCUGCUGGUAGUACUGUUGGGGUGGCUGCUGCGGCUUAUUAUAGCCAACUUGCACCGGAGGUGGCGUCUGAUUCUGCUUUGCAGGUUGGGGGAUGCCGUUGUAGCCUUGAGGAGGCUGAGAUGAACCUCCUGCAGGAGGAGGAUAUUGCGCCGGAGAUUGUGGAGGAUAUUUUACCGGAGAAGGUGGUUGGGGAGGAUAUUUGGCCGGAGGAGGUGGUUGUCCAAAAGGGUGGUUCUGUUGGUUUGGCGUGCCAUUCUGUGGUGGAAACUGUUGAGGUGGCUUAUAAGGAGGCUGCUGAGCUUGAAACUGAGGAGGACUUUGUGGUGGGAACUGUUGUGGAGGGGGACGAGGCUGCUGUGGAGCCAAGUAUUGGAUUGGCCGCGGUGGACCUUGUGGUGGUUGUUGUGGUGGGAAUUGUACAGGUGGCUGACGCAGCUGUGGCUGCUGCUGCUGCUGGAAGAACUGCGGUUGUUGUUGGCCUCCUUGUGGUGGAGGUUGUGGCUGAUAUUGAGGUGGCUGCUGCUGUUGUUGCUGUUGGUUUUGGUCGUAGUUUGCAGCAGCGUCACUAAUAUCUGAGGCUUGUACCUCUACAUGAGCUUCAGGUUGAUCACCAUGGUAGUGGUCUUCGUAAUCCGGAGUAUGAUGAUCCUCCUCCAUUAGCCUCUACCACACUCUUUGCUUAGAGAAAGAGAGCUCGAAAGAGGAAGAUAGAGCUAGCUUUGGGUUGAAAUGACUAAUGCCAUACAAUUUAUAUACUACUGAGCUAGCUAUACUAAUACUAGGGUUUUGUAAAUGAGCAAACAAUAAGUGUGAUUACAAACUGCUGGCUACGAUUUUCUUCUUUUCUUUUUGGGGAUUAUUGUAGCUAGUCAAACAUACAUCUGUUAUUACAAGCUUGUCACAAUCUAUAGAAUCUUAAACAGUAGUUGACAAAAACUAUAUACAUGCAUAUCUGUCUGAGAGGAUGGAAUUAUUUGUUUGACUAGUUCAAUUUCUGGAGGGAUAGUCGUGUGGUAGUGUGUGAUAGUUUUGUUCAUGGAAUAUAUAGCGGAUGCGAAGGGGUUUACUUUGACCUAGCUCCAAUGAGUGAUAUUUUGCUUCCUUGCUGCAGAGAGUAGUCGACUACUCUAGCUCAUUUAGUACGGCCGGGAAAUUGGAACUUGACCUAGCAACGAUUCGAAUUUGUGACAAAAUUUGGCUGGAUGUAUUAGUCUCCGGGGUCCUGAUCAUCAGACUGCUUAUUUAGCUAGGCAUAAUAGGUCGUUCCCGGCCACCUAGCUUCAUCGUAAUUUCCUAUAUUCAUGAGAUACGCCGGACUCUACUUAUUGCCAGGUUGAAGCCUGGAACCUAAGUAUUAGUUAAGUUUAGGCUUUAAGGUUCCUGUGUGGUGUUUAUCUAGUUUAAAUCAUAAUUAACUUUGUAUUAUUAUUGGCCAAUGACUUAAUAAGUUUCAGAUCAAUCAUUAGUCCCACACCAACCCCAACCCCAAUUGGGGUUUAUAUAUAUAGUUGACUAGCUAAUUCCAAACUCGAUUGACUUCGUACAUUUCUAUCAAUGAAAUUUGAGGUAUUGGAGUAUAUUGGUAAUAGGGGAUGUUUUAGAUUUAAUAGUUCAUGGAAGAAAUUAAGUAGUGAUAUAUGAGAACGUGAUGCACCGUUCAUACUCAUUUUCGGCCAUUUCUGCCUUCAAUAUUGCCCACUUGUAUCCUAAUAAAAAGACCUCUACAGAUCGAUAUAUCUUUGACAUAUCAUUUCUGAUCACCAUUUCCAUCUAUAUGAUCUAAUGUCAGCCCUUAUACGUGAGACAAGCUUGUUAACCAUGGGUAGGGAUACUUAAGGUCCAUUUCAUCUUUUAAAUAUCAUUCGCAUAGGAAAAGAAAACUCGUACCCGAUCUGUGCCAUUGCAAAACAGAAAUUAAAAGAUUUUGAUGCGCUAGCAAAUAAUAUGAAUUUACUCAACUACUUCAAUGAACUGAUUGCUUAGGGCAACUCCAACCAUAUAUAGUCUUGGAUUUGGAGUCCUAUAUCAAUUAUAGGACCUCUUUGUUGCACUAUUCAUUUAGGACUCAUUUUCUCAUCUCUAAAAAUUGAGUCUUAUAUGAGGUCUUAUAUUCACUUUUGUUGAUUAAAAUAAGUUAUAGGUGGUAUAUUUAUGAAUAUUAUAUUAAAUAAUAUGUUAAUAACCUUAUUAAGUUAAUAAAACUUCACAAUUUUUAUUUUUAUUACAAAAUUUUAAAUUAUUCUUAUAAUUAAAUAUAAUUAUUUUAAUUAAAAAAAUAAAUACAUACUAACUUUUUGUCGUUUUUUAUGUCGGCAUAUAUGACAAACAACCAAAUUAUUGACAGAUAUUAUCUUGUGUUGUGUCGGUGUAUACAACAAACAACUGAAUUCGGAUGUGAUUAUCGUCGCCACAUGUUAAACACUAAUUGGUUAUCUAGAUUACGGGUUAUAUUUGUCCGACACAUGUCAUAUCUUAUCUAUUGAUAUCAUCUCAAAUUGUCCAUAAAUAUGAGGUCAUUGUCAUCUUCAUUUCUCACAAAUUCACAACACUCUUCUCAUAUCAAAAUCUUCAUAUUGUUUCCUUUUGAUUUUGUGAAACUGUUUUUCUACAAUGAAUCAUUUGACAAAAUGGUUUAUGAAAGAUCAAGAAGAGGCUGUUACGAGAAACCAACGAAGAUCCAUGAUGAUGUCUGUUGCUGCCUUGCAAAUCCAAGAUCUGGAAGAUAAGGAUUCACAACAGGGUGGUUCUUCGGAAGGUCGUUCGUAUACUGUCAAAAACAGAGAGAUCAUGGAUCAACGUCUGAAAGCUCUAUACUUCACAGAUCCAUGCAGGUACGAACCAAAUAUAUUUCGUAGGCGAUACAAAAUGCAACCUUAGGUCUUUGACAAGAUGAUGCACGAUGUGGCCAACUACGAUCCAUAUUUUGUUCAAAGAAGAGAUGCGACUGGGAGAGUCAGCCUAUCCACUGAACAAAAGCUUACAUGCGCUAUGAGACAACUCGUAUAUGGGGUCACAGCCGACUUCUUUGAUGAUUACAUGGAUAUUGCAAAAUCCACUGUCAUCGAGAUUUUGGAACACUUCACCAGAGCAAUAUAGAAUGUGUACCAUGAGCAUUACCUCCGCCGACCAACACCAGCAGAUCUGCGACGGCUUCUCGACAAGGCAACAGAAAGAGGAUUUCCGAGAAUGAUCGGGAGCCUCGAUUGUAUGCACUGGUAAUGGAAAAAUUGUCCCACCAGAUGGGGAGGGCAGUAUACUGGCUAUAAGGGGAAACCAACAAUCAUCUUGGAGGCAGUAGCAUCCUAUGAUACUUGAAUUUGGCACGCCUUCUUCAGCCUUCCAGGCUCCCUAAACGAUAUUAAUGUCCUUGGACAGUCACCUUUGUUUAAUGAUGUGUCUCGUGGUGAAACUCCUCAGGUGAGAUAUGAAGUACAAAAUAGGCAUUAUGGGCAAUGUUAUUACCUUGUUUAUGGCAUUUACCCAAAAUGGGCCGCAUUUGUUCAAGCAAUCAAAAACCCGAGGACAUCGCAGACAAAACAUUUCACAAGGAUGCAAGAAGCAUACAUAAAAGAUGUGGAGAGAGCUUUUGGUAUUCUUCAAGCUCGUUGGGCAAUCAUAAGAGGGCCAGCUCAUGGAUGGAGUAAGGAGAAUCUUCAGUUCAUCAUGAUAACGUGCAUUAUCUUGCAUAAUAUGAUUGUUGAAGAUGAGCAUGAUGAAGAUGCAGCUGAGCCAUUUGAUCCGAAUGACAUUCCCACCAUACCAAAAAAGACACAUAUAUAUGACAGAAUCCCUGAUCAAGACACCUCUGUUCAUCGCAAUCCGAACAAGCUAAAUCAAUUCAUGCGUCGCUAUAGGGAGGUAAGAUGUCCAGUGAUGAAUAAAAACCUCCAGGAUGAUCUAGUUGAUCACCUGUGGAGCAUGAAGCUGCAAGCUGAUGAGAAUGACCAGUGAUGAGCUUUAAAUUUAGAGCUUUCAAUAAGUUGCCGGUUUCUCAUGGCCUUUGCUUUUGCUUUUGCUUUUGCUUUUGCUUUUGCUUUCUUGUGUUGUGUGGUGUGCAGAGAGCUUUUGUUUUUGCUUUUACUUUCUUGUGUUAUGUGGUGUGUGCAGAGAGCUUUUGCUUUCUUGUGUUGUGUGGUGUGCAUUUGCUUUUGCUUUUGCUAUUCAAUAAAAGUUAAAGGUUUUUAUGUCAAGUGAUUGCUUUUUAUGAAUGGUUAUCAUGUGUCAUAAAAAAUAAUAACUUUUUAUUCAUAACUUGAAAAAAACAUUACAACUAGAAACAAACAACAACAUUUAUUUAGGUAAAUUAAAUGGAUACUUACUAAUUGAUGAUUCUAGUUCAUCCAUUGUGUUUCAUGAACCGGAACAUAAUUGGCCAAGUUACGGUUGUCUCCUUCGGUUGGUGUUUGAUACUCGGUGGGGGCUUCAUCUUGAGGGUUCACCGGAGAGCUUGAGGUUGCUUCCUCCCUAUUAAUUAUCUCUUGUUGUCUCCUUUCCCAAUAACCUCUUUUUCUUGGAGUAUCGAACGUUGAUAGAUCAACCAUCAUAAUACGAUCAUCCGAAGCGCGUUGCUCAAGUUGCUUAAUUUGCUCAAAUUAUUGUUGCCUUUGUAGAUAUUCACGCUCACUUUGUUCUUGAGCCUUUUGCAUUUGAAUGCGUAAGCCAUCCGCAUCUUGUUGCUUGCCUUUUUUCUUUGCUAGCUUUUGAGUUUUUUGUCCUUGAGGUUGUGCUUGUCUUGUUGUGGUUGGCUCCACUUCAUCGGCUUGUGCUCCAUCUUCUUCCAAGUUGAUAGGAGUAGGAAUACUGUUCAUGGCUUCGGUGGAAGGCGUUUCCCCAAACUUGAUAGUAUUUUUCAAGUAUCGCCAACAAUGAUCAUAGACAAAAUCCGUGCCAACUUUGUCAUAGUAAAUUGACCUAGCUCUCAUGAGCUAGAUACAAAAUGAAUUAAUAUUUAUUAGUACUCAUGAGCUACACAACAAAUUAAGUAAUUUAUAUAUUACUUACACUAAAAUAUAUUGUCUUAGCAUGAGUAAAAUUAAAUGCUCAUAUGCUCAUAGUUACACACUUAGCAACCUAUCUACACCAUAAUUUUCUAUAAAUUAAAUGACAAAAAAUAAAUAAAACAUUUUGUUAACAUAUGAAUAAUAUACUUACAUCGUCUUCCUUAUUUUUGCCGCUUCGGUGGUCCACUUCGGCUUGGGUAAGAGAUUCGCGCCACUUCGUACAUAGCGGACUAAAUACAUUCCAACGAGCCUUACAACUAUCUGAUGAUUUCUCUACGCAAGUCGCCGGUUUUUGUGCAUUGUACUCGGCCGAUAUACGCUCCCACAUUGUAUCCGCCGAUUGAUUUGUUCCGGUGGCACUGUCGGUGGUGAUGGUGAUCCAAGCUUGGCAAAGAAUAGCUUUUUCAUUGUGCCUCCAUAAAUCCUUUCUUUUGCCCAUUUUUUCUCUUGGAAAAAAAAAAUUGAAGAACAAGAUAUAGUGAAUAAAUGAAAAAUUGGAAAGAGAAAAGGAUUUUGGUGUGAGGAAUUUGUGAAGUUUUGGGUUGGUAUUUAUAGAAUUCUUCAAAAAAAAGUUGCCAACGGAUCUAUAUAUUUUUUAUGUUAUUUCUGACUUUUUUUUUAGGUAAAAACGAGUUUUAUAUUAGGGUAAAAAUCCUAGGUAGUAAAUUUUGUUUCUGACCGUUGGACCUCUCAUCUCUCCCAUCACCGUCCAUUUCAAAUUGGAGAUGAAAUCAAGGCCGUUGGUUUCAUGGCCGUUGGAGCUACUCAACGGUCACAAGGAGACCGCAUCACGUGAUCUGGGGGCCAGCUGCAGCAGACUGUAGCGCUUUCUUCGCUGGAGCACACAUUACGCGCGUCGCCGUUUUGAACGCCGUUGGACCGCGCGUUUCGCUUCCUCUCUGUGCCGAGCGCGUCGCGCCUCUGACGUCUCUGGCCCAGCCCAAAAGCAAGCGGGCCUAGGUCUUGGUCCUGGAAUUGUCUCAGAUUUGAGACUGAGAAUAGGACUUGGUCCUAUAUUUCCAAAACCAGAACCCAAAAAUUUGGCCCGUUGGAGAUGAAAACUGCAUAUAUAGGACUAAAACUGGAGGAUAGAACCUCCGUUGGAGUUGCCCUUAGUCAUUGAUAGAAUUAUACACAUAUUGGCUUAUGAUUCAUUAUCUAAAUGAUCAUUAUUAGCUGAUUACUGAGCAACUGAGCAACCUACCUCUGGCAAGUCAACUUGUAGAGUUGAACUCGAGUAUUGCUAAAUAAGAAACCAAACCCAUUUGAAGAAGAUCGCUCUAUCAUCUAUGUGACUUUUCAGAGCUCAUGUUGGCUGGUCGGCUGCAUCAUAUAUCAUCUCCUCGCGGUACUAUUGCCCCAUCUCAUGUUCUAUUUGCAGAUGAUGUUAUUAUCUUUUGUCGAGGGACUAAACGUAAUUUGUCUGUGGUUUUGGAGUUCUUUGAUGAAUAUGGAACUAACUCUGGUCAAUUAAUAAGUAAGGAAAAGUCUCAAGUUUUCUUAAGCAAGCAUCUACAUGCGAGACGUCAUUCCAUUGCUGGUUUCCUUGGCAUGUCUCUUGGGAAUGCUCAUUUUACCUACUUGGGAGUUCCUAUUUUCCGAGGUAAACCUCGUUCUUCCUAUUUUCAAGCUAUUGUUGAUAAAAAUACGCUUAAAAUUUUCUAGCUCUAGCUGGAUGGGUUCUAUAUUGUCAAUGGCUGGUCGGCUCCAGUUGAUAAAGUCAGUGGUUAACAGCAUGCUUGUCUACAGUCUACAAGUCUAUGAGUGGCCAAUUUCUCUUCUUAGAAGGUUGGAGGUAUGGUGUAGGAAUUUGUUAUGGUCCGGAUCUAUAGAUAAACGAGGGGUGCCUUUAAUUGCUUGGAAGUCAUGUUGUACACCAGUUGAAGAGGGGGGUUUGGGCCUAAAGCAACUUGUGCUUCUUAAAUAUCGCUUAUUCUUAUUAAAGAAGUGUUGGGAGAUUUAUUCAUCUUCAUCAGAAAGUUGUGCUUUUAUUCGCAACAGGUUUUUACGUAAUGGUUCUCCACGUAGCUCUUAUGCCUGCUCUUCCAUAUGGUUAGGUGUGAGGAAAUUAUUUCCACGGGUUCUUGAGAAUGCAAGAUGGCUUAUUGGCUCUGGAGCUUCUGUUUCGUUUUGGAAAGAUAACUUCAUACGUAAGCCUAUUGUUGAUUUUUUCAGUAAUCAUCAUGGCUUACUUCAUCUAUUAGAAGGAAAAGUGGCUGACUUUAUCUAUAAUGGCUCUUGGACUUUUCCUCAUUUGCUUCAAUUACACCAUCCAAGCGUUUGUGAUAUGAUCAGUAGAGUUCCAGUGGCCUUGGACCCCAUGAAGCAUGAUAAGCUUAUUUGGUCUUCAUCAAAAUCUGGUGUGUUAAGUGCCAAGGAGGCUUUUCAAUUUCUACUACUUCAUUCUCCCGCUUUGAAUUGGGGAAAAUUAAUUUGGUGUAAAUUCAUCACUCCCAAAAUCUCAUUACUAGUUUGGAAGGUGUUACGGGGCCGAGUAAUUUCAGAGGACUUCUUACAAAAACGUGGAGUUUCUCUCGCAUCUAGAUGUGUUAUGUGUUGCGUACAUGAGGAAUCCUUGUUCCAUAUUUUUUUCACAUGCCCUUUUGCAGAUUUCAUAUGGCAGAAGUGGUUCUCUCACUUUCAAUUGGCUACACAACCAAACUCCUUGCUGGAUUUGUUGCAUGCAGGAAGAGGUAAUGAUCGAAGUCCUCAACUGAAAGAGCUUUGGUUAAGCUGUUUCUGUACAACUUUGUGGUUUAUUUGGAGAAUACGCAAUAAAAUCAAGUAUGAUGGUUAUUUUUGUUUGCCAUCACAUGUUUGUCGCUUAAUUAUGAGGCAUAUGCGAGCUUCCAGUUUUCUCGCCUCAGGUUGCAUGAAUAAUUCAGUCUCGGAGCUUUGUGUUUUAAAGUGCUUUGAUGUUCCUUGUAAGUCGAGACGAGCUCCUCGAAUUAUAGAAGUGAAUUGGAUUCCUCCUCUUUUUGACUGCAUCAAGAUUAAUACUAACGGGGCAUUCAAUCAUGCCUCAGGCAAGGCUGGUUUUAGGGGAGUUUUCCGAAAUUUCAAGGGUGAGUUUAUUGGUGUUUUUGCUUGUAAUUUGGACAUCCCUUGUUCGGACGCAGAGGUUAUGGCUGUUAUUAAGGCUAUUGACUUAGCUUGGGUUCGGGAAUGGAGGCAUAUUUGGCUUGAGGUUGAUUCCGCCAUUGUUCUUAACUUCAUCCAUUCCCCUCAUCUUAUUCCAUGGAGAUUUCGUGUUGCUUGGGAUAAUUGCAUGUAUCGUGUCUCGCAAAUGCAAUUUCAGUGUUCUCAUAUAUUCAGAGAAGGGAAUCAGGUAGCAGAUGCACUAGCAAACUUCGAUUUAUCUUCUUCAAGCUUGGUUUAUUGGGACUCAAUCCCCCAAUUCCUUAUGAAUCUAUGCCUUCAGGAUCAACUCGGUUUACCUCAUUUUCGCUUUCUUCACUGAUUUUCUUUCAGUGUUGCUUUCUCUUAUAGGUUAUAUUGUUUGUUCUUUGUUGGAAGGGGUUUUGUUUAGCCCCCUUCCCUUAUGUUCCCCUGACUUUCUUUUUUCUUAAUAAAUGGAGUUCAGCUCCUUUUAAUACAAAAAAAAAAAAAAAACCCCAACCCAUCAUCAUUGUUGCAUCGUCAAGCACGACAGUUAAGCAGUAUAUGAUGGCACUUAUCAAACUGGCCGGUGAUUAAUAUCAUAUUUUUCUCCAUCUAACUAUAUAUGUUUCUAGCGAAUUCGAAUCCGGAAGGUGACCCGAAUUUCUUUACAGCCGAGCCGGGAUGAUCAUAUCUCUUGUAAUGGUGAUCUUGGUGAUGAUAAUCAUCAUCUGGCAAAAAGAGAACGAUAUAUAGAAUCAGUCUAAAAUAAGGAGUUAAUAAGAUUUGAUUGUUUAUUUUCUGCCUGUUCAUGUUCAGUAGUACUCACUGUUUUAAGUGUUGUACGUCGUUGUUCCUUAUGUAUACCAUAUUUGGACAUUUAGUUAUCCUUUGGAUUCACUUUAGACUUCGAUAUGAUUGGCUUGUGUCUAUGGCUUUCUAAUGGGAAAGAAUUGUUUAAAAGAAGAAACAAUGGUGUAACUUACGUACUGUUUCAUAUCAUAAUAUUGGUUUACUAGCUAGCUACAUAGCUGGUUUGUUAACUUCAGGGUUGGCUGGUUGAGUGAGAAGUAUUAAGUAUAUCCACAGGAUUAGAAUUCCAUUUAAUAACAUCAAUCUGGUAUGAAGUAGUAGAUUGUUAGUGUUGGAGUACUCGAGAGUCGAUUCAGUCGAGAGAUACUCCAAACUCAUCUCAACUUGUUAGUUAUUUAUUUUUAACUUAUGGCUUUAUGCGGCAAUAAAGAAAAGUCUCUCUCUCUCCCUAGGGUUUCUCUCUAGGGUUUCAUAGUUUCUUUUGGCAAACUCUCUCUUCCGGUAAGAUGGCCGAUGAGGUAUCCAGAUUGACGGCAGCGCUGGCGAUCUCGGAGAAAGGCAAGGUGUCCUUUGGAGCCGCUGGGGCAGCGGCGUAUUCGGGCCAUGCCUAUGUGGUGGGACGUCUUCUCUCAUCUAAGAAGAAAGUGGUUCCAAAAUCGUUCACGGCAACGAUGGCAGCUAUAUGGGGGAAGAAAAAUCGGCUACAGAUCGGACAAGAAGGAGAUCGGUAUGUUCUUCGAUUCACUGAGAAGGAAGAAUGCGAUCAGAUCAUGAGCGGAGGACCCUGGUUCUAUGGGAAAUCCAUGUUUGCCCUAGCAAACUACAAUGGGAGGAUGGCGGCAGAUGCAGUUCCGAUCACCACCAUACUUGUUUGGGUGGAGAUAUUCGGUCUCCCUCCGGAUUUGAAGACCAAGGAGGCACUCUUCAUGGUUGGUGCAACCCGAGGGACCAUCAUCCAAACGGAUCUACCAAAUCUGAAAUGCGAUGCUAGGGCAAGGAUCCGGAUUGAGCAUCGUCUUGAUUCUCCAGUCAAGCAAGCAUAUCCUCUGAUGGUGUUCGAAUUUGGGGUAGGUAACGAUCUUACUUCUGCUUGGUUAACUUUCAAAUAUGAGAGGAUGUGUGGGUUUUGUCGGAUCUAUGGGCUGUUGGAGCAUCCGACGAGUGGUUGUCGUGGACCGCCAGAUAUGUCGACGGCUUUGAGGAUGGGUGCACCGUACCCCUAACCCUAGCAGUUCGGCUAGUCUAUCUGGUUCAUCUUUGAACCCUUUUUAGAAUAUCGGUUCACGUCCGGUGCAGACAAAAUUGGCUCCGAUGCAGCCUUUAGUGUUUAGACAGGUGGUGGAGUCUCCGCCGGUCCCAAUCUCACGGGAGAUUGCUCUCUCUACCAAGACAAUCUCAGGGACCAAGAGGAAUGCGUCCUCAUUGAUGGAGGUUGAUCUGGGCAAACGCCCUAGGGGUCCUCCGACUGUGCUUAAAGCUGUCAACGUCAAUUUGGGGCCUGUGUUGGAGCUAUCACUCCCUAAUUUUGCAGGUACUCUCAUUGUUUCUCCCCCAAAGAAACAUAAAGUUGGACGUUCGGAGGGUUCCAAGAACAGGCCAAAGGAGAAGGAUAUCCCUCUUUAGAAGCUCAAGAUUAAUGCGAAUGCAAAAAAGUUGAAGACUAAAAAGCGUAUUCAAGGUGUGAAAUGUAUGCUGGAGUUGGAAGGGACACCAGUUGUGCAGACUGAUCAGGAGAAGGUGGCAAUGGAGGAUCCCGGGGAAACCUCCUCUGUGUAGGAUGGUUCCGGGUUAGUCGGUUCUUACAAGUUUAGGGCAUGCCCAUUCCGGUUUUAUUUUGCUGAGCUUUGGUUUUUGGUUUCAGUUCCUUGAACUUUAGUUUUUGUAGCUUUUUGGUUAAUUGAACUCCAUAGUAGUUUCGUUAGAUUGCUUUCGGGCUAUCUAGCAUGGGUUUUUCUAUCGUUGCCCUAGCGAGUAAGUCAUGUUGUAACUGCUAUUUUUUUCGUUACAAUGUCAAAGGCUUUACGUCCAUGUUUCAAAAAGAAAACUUUUUAGUUAUUUGAAGUAGUCAUCAAAGAGAAUUAUCCUACAAAGCCCGGCCCUCUAAUUCUCUAUACGGGUUGAGAGCCAAACCUAACCCGCCACUCCAUUUAUUUUUUUCGGUCUGGUUAUUUUGCAAACCAAAUUCACAUUUCAAAAUGAUCUCAUAAAAAUUCAGAAAUUAUAAAUAUAUAGAGAUCGAGAUACAUAUAGUGUACGUUUAUUGCCACUCCACAAACCAUUUUACUCACCCCACACGUUGAUUUAUUGAAAUAUCAAAAUACCUUGAUGUAAAAUUACAGCAAGGGACAAUAAGUUGUUACAAAUGAUAAAUUUUUUCUUUUUGUUUUUAUCUUUUUAUUUUGGAUGAACACAAAUUUCAUAACUCCAACCCAAAUUUAUCAUAUUCGGUUGUCAGUCUGAAAACGCUCGCAUUUAACCUAAAGAUGAGGUAAACUGUUUGUAUUUUUUUUUACUCAUUAUUCUCAUGUCGAUUUUAUAUGUAAAUUCUCAUGGACAACUACUGUACCGUAUUUAUGAACAACAGAUAUAUCAAUUCAAGAAACUUAGAAGUAUGGAAGGCGUUGCUACUAGAGAUACAUUUACAGACAUUGUGCAUCUAAUUGAUAUCGACUGAUACCAUUGAGUUGUUAAAUUUGAGAGUUUUUUUUCUUUUUUUUAAACUUGGAUUUAUACUUUCAUAUGAAAUUUGUGUUUACUUGGUGAUUUUAUUUACCUUGAGUAAAUCUGAAUUUAACAAAAUAUAUGAAGAGAAUGUAGGGUGAACAAAGUAGAAUUGAGAAAAUUGUCAAUUAAAAUUAUAUGAGUGGGGUGUGAGAGAAUGUGGAGUGAGCAAAGUGGUUUGUGGGGUGACAAUAGACAUACCCUGUACGUAUAUAGCUUCACAUCAAUACCCAAUAUGAUAAUCAAUACCCUUUGGCUUUUAUGGAUCCAGAUCCUCUUAUAAGGAACCUCUCCUACUCAAAAACUACUUCCUCCUAAUAUCUAUAGAUUUGAUAGACUUGAGAUCAAGUUUCAUGUUGAUAGACUUGAUCGUAUAGACGAAUACUACUCUUUAUCGUUUCAUCCCUCUUAUUACUAUUUUAUCUUGAGACUAAUCUAGUUACUACACACAUACUCAUGGGAACAUAGAAUACGUGAUGUUCCGGGUACAAAUAAUAGUUUCUCGUAAAUAUAUACUCAUGGGUAUUUAUCUGUGAUUAUAUUCCAAUUCCAAACUUUUUGUUACUAGCAAAUCACAUAUACAUCCUCCAAAAGGAUUUAAAACACAAAUAAACCCACUUGUGUUAUUGUUAAACAAAUAAGGAUAGUUUUUAACAAUUGAAGACAAUCUUUUCUCUGCAUGUCAUGUAUCAUGAUUUAAUUUACUAAACUAACCAUAUACUAAUUAAAUAUGCUUUUAGAAGAGAAAAAUCUCUCAUUUUGAGAUUUUUCAGUAAAUGGAAUACAGUAACAUGUUUUCAAUAACUUAGUGUAGUAGCAGAGGUUAACAUUCCAGUAGAAGUAGUAGCAAAGGUUAACAACCCAGUAGAAGUAGUAGCAGAGGUUAACAUCCCAGUAGUAGUAGCAGUUAAUUCCAGUAGAAGUAGUAGCAGGGGUUAACAUUCUAGUAGAAAGUAGUAGCAUGGGUUAACAUCUCACUAGAAGUAGUAACAGGUUUUUAGUGGUUCAGCUAAUGUAGUAGCAUGUUUUGCUGGAAAACUACACUUCCAACAGAUGUAGUAGCAGGGUUUUAGUGGUUCAGCUAGUGUAGUAGCAGCUUCAGUAAGUGCAGGAACAGGUUUUUAGUGGCUCAGCAAAUGUAAUAGCAGCUUUUUUUAGUACGUACAGUAAUAGCAGGUUUUUAGUGGUUCAACUAGUGCAGUAGCAGUUACUUCCAGUAAAUACAAUCGUAGCUAUUUCCAAUAAAUGUAGUACGUAGCAGGUUUUCAGUGGCUCGGCCAAUACAGUAGCAACUACUUUCAAUAAAUGUAGUAGCAAAACUAUUUUUAGUAAAUGUAGUAGCAGGCUUUUAGUGACUCAGCUAGUGUAGUAGCAUUUAUUUUCAAAAAAAGCAGUAGCAUGUUUUUAGUGGCUCAACUAGUGUAGUACCAACUAUUUCUAGAAAUGCAGUAACAAGGUAUUAUCAGUAGGGUAGUAGCAGGCUUUUAGUGACUCAGCUAGUGUAGUAGCAACAAUUUUUAGAAAAUACAGUAGCAUGUAUUUAGUGGUUCAACUAGUGUAGUAGCAACUAUUUCCAAUCAAAAUAGUAGCAACAGAGUUCCAGUACAUAAACAUAGUAUCAGGUUUCAAUGACUCAGCUUUAUAUUCAUUUACAUAACAAUUCUUCUCUCAUGUGAAAGGCCUCUAUGAGUCGUUGGGCAGACGAACUUCAUGUCUUGAAAUUUCAAAACAAAUUGAAGCUCAACUAUAUAUACGUGCAUAAGUAUCUGAUCUAGCAGAGCCCUUUGUACAUAUGUUUUUCCAUGUCGAUAUUAUGGCUGCUAAUAAGAUUAGUCAGGCAUAUAUAUAGUUUUAUAUAUAUAUAUGGCUGCACUCUCAUUCAAUUCACUUGAUGUUUACAUCACUGCUACUGUUAUUGUUCAUAUUACUGCUACUGAGCAACAAAAUUUCUUUCGUUGCUAAUGUUGCUUACUUUACUUCCAACUGAAUGAACAACACUACAAGUGCUAAACCACAGUAGCAUCAAAUUCCCUUCCACUGGUUUCAGAUAUUCUACACAACCCAAACUAUGUUCAUAUGCAACUGCAAAUCAAAAACACAAACGAAGCACUAGCAACAUGACUCGACCAUCUCUUCUAUUUCAAUAACAACUUCAACUUGGCUCCUACCAGGUAGCCAUUUGGUUCAACGAUUUCGCCAUCAACAAGAUCAAAAACCUAACAAACAGAUAAUCCAAAACAAAAUAUGAAUCUCAGAGGUUGUACUUGUACUCUAUGACGGAGGUACCCAACCCAACCCGUCGUCACCAAAGAGCUAUGCCGCAUCUUCAACAGCUUCGACGCUCACCGGCGAGAUCCUUCAUUUGUCUCAACGAAUCAAUUGGAUCUAGAAUAUGAUUUUGGAGAGAGAGAGAGAGAGAGAGAGAGAGAGAGAGGGUNNNNNNNNNNNNNNNNNNNNAGAGGGGUUGUGCAUCGGGAGGAAGAAAGAGAGAUAUGGAUGGGUCAGUGGCAGUCCACAUAAUUUUCUAAUGGUUUGGGGAUUUUGGUCAUUUUCUAAUUAAUUUAAAAGUCAAGCUUACAUCACAUGGCUCUUGGGCCCAGGCUCAUGUCCUUAUUUGUUUAAAUCUUUUAAAAGCUAAGUUUUUAGUAUUUUAUUUCUUUUUAGGGUAGUUGUAUGUCAUUCUCUAUUUUGUUAACGGCGAAGCUCUGCAUGAACCCUAAAAGUACAAAAAUUUGGAGAGCAAGUAACGUAAAAUGUCUUAAAACCCUUAAACCCUUGGUGGCCAAGAUACCAUUUCUCUUCCAAUAAACCCUUAAACCCUUGGUGGUUUCUUAUGAUUGAAGCCGUCACACAACGCUGUAUCUCCUCCAUGAAGCCAUAAAUCCUCUCAAUUCUCAAAGGCGCCAAACCAAAUCACCAAAACCAUGUCAUCAACCUGGCAAGAACUCAAACUCCUACUCUUCUUCUCGGUCCUCCAGAGAUCGGAAGAGUACCCACUCCACCACCGCAGGUCCACUCCGGCGACCCCUUCGUCGACCUCAUGGUCUCCAAUUUCAAUAGCACCACGAUAACUCCACCCAGACCCCCAAUGGGUUUGACCGAGAACGGUUCGCCGACUUUUCUCACCUCCGGCAACCCUUGCCUUGAUUUCUUUUUCCACGUGGUUCCUGACACCAAGCCGGAAUAUUUCAACCAACAGCUCCCGGUGGCUUGGUCCCACGAUGCCCUAACCACUCUCAAGCUCAUCUGCAACCUGCGAGGUGUACGUGGCACCGGAAAGAAUGACAAAGAAGGGUUCUACACUGCAGCGUUAUGGCUCUACAACCACCACCCCAAAACCCUAGCUUACAAUGUAGCCUCGGUUGCCGCUUUUGGGUAUUUCAAAGACUUGCCGGAGAUUUUAUACCGGAUUCUAGAAGGCCAAGACAUUAGGAAGACCCAAAAGGAAGAGUGGGAAAGGAUCAAGCGCUCUUGCUAUAAGGGACCGGGUAAGGUGGACGGGUUAAGGUCACUAAAGCUCCCACAUUUACUGGGUCCGGCGGAUCAACCACCUAGAGAUGUUAAACUGAUGAGCCUUUGGAUGAAACUAAUCGCCGUCAAAUCUAACAAGAAAAAUCUCGGCGAUGGGGAGUAUAAAACUGCUCAAGAAAAAUGGGCAGCGGAGAGAGACGAACUCAAAAGUGACGAAGCGAGGGAACUGAUGCAUCAAAAGAUCAUAGACAAAAUCAAGAAUGCUGUGGCUAGGUACGUUCUGAAAGAUAAUCACCCUAUACUUCAUUUUAGAAAGAUAAAAUAUUAAGUUUACAACUUUACAUUAGUAAUUCUCCAACUGCGUGAAUAUUUUCAUUGUAUUUUCCAUAAGUACUCAAACAGUCCAUUAAAAAGAUUACAUUAUUUGCUUUAUGCUCUAAACAGAAAAAUAUGGAAAAUCUAAAGGAAGAUGAGGCAACAGGUUAACCAACAUUUGUUUGUAAUUUUCUAAUCCUUUUUAUUUUUUGUUGUCUCUUUAUUAACAAUAAGGUAUGAGCAAGACUCGGAAUUGAAGUUCCUUUACGAACAAAUUUGGGAUGUGUUUGGGGACAGCUUGAAGUCCAUGGAAGCGGAGACGGAGGCAGAGAGGAACAAGAUGAUCCGAUUGAGAAAAGAAAAAUUGAGGGACAAGAGGUAUGAACGAAUGUAUGACAUGGCCAAGAAGGUGGUUUCCAGGUACCAGCAGGACUCCAAUUUCCAGUUGCUUCACGAGCAGAUAUCGGAAGUUUUCGCAGAGUGCUUGAGAUCAGACAUGGAAUGCUUGAAGAAGCACCAGAGAAACAAGAUAAGCCUCGCAGCGAAAUGGUGCCCUUCCCUAGACUCCUCCCUUGACAAGGCCACUUUGCUUUGCGAAAGCAUUGCCAAGAAGGUUUUCCCGCGGGAAUUGUACCCGGAAUAUGAGGGACUAGAGGAAGCACACUAUGCUUACAGAGUGAGAGACCGGCUGAGGAAGGAGGUUUAUGUGCCGUUGAGGAGGGCAUUGGAGUUGCCUGAACUUUAUAUGACUGACAGAGAGUGGAACUCACUUCCUUACAAUAGAGUGGCCUCCGUGGCAAUGAAGCUAUACAAAGAAAAAUUCUUUGAGAAGGACUCUGAGAGGUUUAAGAAUUAUCUGGCAGAAGUGGAAGAAGGCAAGUCCAAGAUUGCGGCCGGUGCGCUGCUUCCGCAUGACAUCAUAGCCUCUCUGGAAGAUGGGGAUGGAGGGCAAGUCGCCGAGCUUCAAUGGAAGAGAGUGGUGGAUGACUUGUUGAAGGAAGGCAAGAUGAAGAACUGCUUGGCUGUGUGUGAUGUGUCUGGAAGCAUGCAUGGGACUCCUAUGGAUGUGUGUGUGGCUUUGGGGAUGUUGGUGGCUGAAUUGACUGAGGAGCCCUGGAAAGGGAAGGUGAUCACAUUCAGUGCCAAUCCUCAGCUUCAUUUGAUUCAAGGGGAUGAUCUAAGAUCCAAGUGUGAAUUUGUGAGGAGGAUGGAUUGGGGAAUGAACACUGAUUUUCAAAAGGUGUUUGAUCUGAUACUCCAAGUGGCUGUGAAUGGGAACUUGAAGCCGGAGCAGAUGAUAAAGAGGGUGUUUGUGUUCAGUGACAUGGAGUUUGAUCAGGCUUCGGGGUAUAGGAGUGGUUAUGGUUAUGGAUAUAGAUAUUCUAGCUAUUCUGAAAGCGAAAGCGAGGAUGAUGUGUCUAAAAACAGAUGGGAGACUGAUUAUGAGGUGAUACAGAGAAAGUUUGAAGAGAAGGGGUAUGGUGAUGCGGUGCCUCAGAUAGUGUUUUGGAAUCUGAGGGACUCGAAAUCAACGCCGGUGUUGGCAACACAACCAGGGGUAGCGCUGCUGAGUGGCUUCUCCAAGAAUGCACUCAAGAUGUUCUUGGAUGAUGAUGGCCAAAUCAGGCCGAACCGUAUCAUGGAGAAAGCUAUCUCAGGGAAAGAGUAUCAACAUCUAGUUGUUGUGGAUUAAUUUUGUCAUCAUCAGUAUAAUUUCUGAUCUUGUUUUUAUGCAUGUUUCUUUUUCUUAAAUUUAAAAGAAUACAGUACCAUUUCCUUUGUUUCUGUUCAUAUUUAGACAUCAUUUCUUUAAGACCUUCACAUAGAUUGAACAGUUAUUUUCAAAUUCUCAUAAUAGAGUUGGUAUAUGUACUUUUUUUUAUUCUCUGUUCUGUUUUAGGGUUUGUUCUACUAACUUUUGUGUUUCCUUGGGUGUAUUUUGAUGUAAAUUUUUGCAAGUAAGUUGAUGCUAUUGAUAUUUGAUGUACAAGAUCACUAACUUUCAUUUCUUGUUAAUAGGUUAUGAAUCACAUAAUUAACUUCUUAAAGAUAAAAAAAAAAAUUCAAUUAUGAGACAAAUUGGAAGGAAGGAGGUGUUGGCCAUCUGGAAGAGCCUUGGAAUUAAUGACUGUUUCCCUAUGGAGAACAAUUCUUUGUUCAUGGACGACCUUCAACCUAUGUCUUAUGAAGAUUUAAGAUCGUUACUUACAAUACAUACAUGCUCGAAUGAAGAAAUAGUUGCUCGAUUGAUAGUCUUUCCAACCAAUUGUAACCUUGUGCCAGUCUUCUUUUCUCAUGAAAAAAAUCCUGAGAAAUGAAUUAGUCUUUCGAAUUUAUUACAAAUCCGAUUGGCUGAAGAAUUCAUCAACAAACACCAUUGGCUAAAAAAGUCAAUCUUCAUAGAAUAGUCGGUUUUUCUAGAGAGAAAAAAAAAAAAAAAAAAAGGAAGAAUACUCGGUUUAAAAAAGAAAAAGAAAACAAGAAAUUCAAUCAGGAAAAAUGAAGAAAUUUAGAAAACUAACCACUUUUUAAGUGAAAAUGAUUAUUAAAGAAUUUUGAAAUCUAACCAUUUUACAACACGUGAAAUGACAUGAUUACCCAAAACACAUAAUUUUAAUAGAAACAUGGUUGUGCGUGGAAGCUUCAAGUUCCUCCUAGUUGCAUCUCUUAAACCCAUAUAGCUUGAUGAUUAAAACUCAGAAGCACUAGGAUUUUGGAUUCUCACUAUAUAUGAUAUAGCUUAGUACAACACCACACACACACAUAUAUAUAUAUAUACAUAUAAUAUACAGCGGGGAUCCAAAGGAGGACGUACGCAAAUGAGUAAUAUUGCGGAUGGACACGUGCCGGCUAGAGAGAUUAACUGCAGCUCCUCCGUGUGGGUUCCAUCACAUUCUUCCUCUUUCUCUUUCGUUUUGACUACUUCUCCUCCUCUCUCUUACAUCUCUAAACCCAGAAAACAUGAACCAAUUAUGUAUAAUAAUGAUCUUUCUUGGUCUAGCUAGCAAAUCAAUUUUUCAGAGACAUGAUUUCUUUGACACAGAUUCUUCUACUAUGGUAUCAUUUUGUUCACGGCUAUCUCUUGCAUUAAAACGGGUCAUCGAUUUUGAGGUUUCAGACAAAAAACACCGAUCAGGGAAUGGGUCUAUGGGAUUAAGCUAAAGUGAUCAGUGCUUCUUAGUCCAGUCACUAUUUUGUUCGGUCAAAACCUCUCCUCCUCCGGUCAUCCUCUUUCCCAACCAUUCAAUUUGACUGAAACUUGAUCCUCCUCUCCCUCUCUCAUCCCCAAUUACAAAACCAAAAACAAUUAAAGUAGGAAUCGAAGUACAAGUCUUGAAUGGGUGGGCAUGCCUCAGCAUUCCAAAUCUUCAAUUUCUCAUCUCCUUCGACAAUUAGAGGCUUAAACUUUACAUCUUAUAUACACAACAUUCAAUUACAAAACUCAGGUUAUUAUUAACUUACCCAUUAAUUCAAACUCCACCUCCAUAUUGAAGAAUCCCGAUUAUUGAGUAAAGAAAUUUUGGGAGGAAUGAAACCCAUUGUUAUUGCUCUUCCUAGUAGAAGAAUUUGGGGCAAAGAAAAACAUAUCAUGUUUCUGGAAAGGGGAUAAUUGGUCCAUGUUUUCUGGGUUUAGAAAUGUAAGAGAGAGGAAGAGAAGCAGUCAAAACGAAAAGAGAAAGAGGAAGAAUGUGAUGGAACCCACACGGAGGAGCUGCAGUUAAUCUCUCUAGCCGGCACGUGUCCAUCCGCAAUAUUACUCAUUUGUGGACGUCCUCCUUGGAUUGCCGCUGUACAUGUGUGUGUAUAUAUAUAUAAGGCUCUUCCGUUAAGGUUUCUUUUACAUGUAUAUAUGAAGGACGGGGGAUUACACCUAUUUUUUUAUUAUAUUUUUGAAUCUUCACCGUUCAGUUUGUUAAUCUUUAUAUAUAGAUCAAUUCUGUAAAUUUUCAGCUAAUUUGGUGAUCGUUAAGAUGUCGAACAAGUUUAAAUCAAUGAACGAACCAAAUCUGCCAAACCUGAACCGUUCAUGUUUAUAAUUAUAAAUCGUAGUUUUGAAUGCCUUAACGAUCACCAAAAUUUCUGAAAAUUUGCAGAAGUGAUCUACUCAUAUUGAACUACAUAUUGAACGGUGGAGAUUCAAAAAUAUAAUUGAAAAAUGGGUGUAAUCCCCCAUCCCUCAUAUAUGUCAAAAAAAUG
rnacentral:lncRNA from 1 species